UAUACGCAUCCUAUACUGCAUGGCCAACUUCAGAGAGCUAAAAGAAGCUCUUAUUGAAUACAUGAUAGAUAAUGUCCCACUGACCCUUUUACUCUGAUACCUUGAAAUGAGAAAUUUGGAGGUUUUCCACAUCAAGCUUCUUGAAAUUAUUGCGCCUUCUCGUAACAAAGAACUUUCCCCAGUUGUAUGCUCUAUACUUUGGCUUUUCCCCCUUCGUCAGCUCCUCCAAGGGCUUCACCCAAACAUGGUGCCCGGGACUCAAAACGAACGGAAUCGAGAACCUUUACCUCUCUGAAUUCUCCAUCACCCUGUGCUCCACACUUUCAUAAGUAUCGUUGCUCCAGACCUGGUUUAAUAUCAGUAGAAUUAGCCAAAUGAGUGUAAAAUUCCUUGAGCCAAACAGUACUGAUAAGCAUGUACUUAUAAUUCAAAGUUCUUGGGUGGUACCUGAACUAUAUCCCCAACAUUGAUGAUAUAAGCAUCUGGGGUGGGCUUAACUCGAACCCAUUCUCCAUCGGUUUUUCGAUUUACUUCCAACCCUCCAACAUCAUCCUGAGCAAGGAAAGUUAAGGCUCCGGAAUCCUUGUGGCGACCAACGCCCAGAGCUAGGUGAGGAAUGGAGCAAGGUGGGUAGUGAUUGAGGCGGAUGAAGUUUGUUGAUUCUUCAUUCAGGGAUUAUUUCAUCCCUUUUAACCAAAUAUUUAACAUGAUCAAAGACUAUUCCCUAAAUGAAGGCAUACUGUAGCAAAUACCCUUAAUCUGAACAUUGAAAGUACAACUUAAACUAGUAUCAAACACUCUGUUUUUAAACCCAUAGCUACUCCAAAUAUCCCAAAUACUCUUUUCUAUGUAACCUCUCUUUGUCUCUUUCUCGCUCACACACACAUGCUUCCCCACAAAAAUACAUACACACAUAGAGAAGAACACAAUCUCUUAUCCGAUUCCCUUCCGAUUUAUGAUUCUAAGCUGGCGGGUCACUCUCUUAUUCUUUUGCUUUCUUGCGAUGGAGCUCCAUGCUCUCCUUUCCUCAUUUUUUUUCUUGGAUAAAUACUCUAUAAAACAUCCUCUCUCGAUGCUCUAUCUAAACUCACUUGCUCAUUUCACAUUUUUUUCUUUUUGGAUGCUUUCUUUAUGCUCCCAGGCAUAUGCCAGUUUUUUAUGACUAUUUUUGAAGUUGGGAUUCAGAAUUCACUAAAAUCUUUUCUCAAACUUGGAUUUUUCUCAACUCAACCCUAACUUCUUUUCUAUCAGUACCAAGGCUAGAGAAUAUAGUUUAUACCCUUGUAUUUCGUUAUGUACCAAGCCCACAAGAUGAUCAAUAAGUUUCUCUCUAGAUUUUACAUUGGAGUUGAUUGAUGACAUACCCUUAUUAGGUACUAUAUUCUCUUCCUUAGGUAUUGCUUUUUCCUUCCUUAGAUACUACCUUUGCAACCUUGGGUGCACGAUCGAAUCCAUCGUUUCAUGGCCACUUCAAGUAAGUCAGGAACUUAUGUACAUGUGUGCUACAUGUCUUAUAGGUAUUACCUUUACAUUCUGUAGGUACUACCUUUACCUUCCAUAGGUACAAAUAUGAUUAAUAAUAAGAAUUUUAACAUAAAAAAGGGAAAAAUCAUGUCUGAUAAUAAAAUUGCAUAUAUUUUCUUUCUUGCUUUUUUUUUUUUUUUUGGGUCUUUGCUUUGGUUUUUAUUUAUGUGUUUGUUUCUUUUAGUCUUUGUGUGUGUGUGUGUUUUAUUUUAUUUUAUUUUUUUCAUCCCUAUGCAGAAGAUGUAGAGGAAGCAACAUCACAUCAUAAGGUGCAUUUUUCUGUUCAUUUAAGCCUAAAGGUUCUGGAUUCACAAAAUGGUGGGAACUAAGGGUGAGAAACUGGAAAAAAAAAUGUUGGAUUGAGCUACAUUUGAUCAAUAGUGAAUUUGCAAAAAAGAUUGUAGGAGAGGUUUCUUGAGGUGGACAAGGUCAGAAGCAAGGAGCCUUUUCCUAGUUUUUGGGAAGAACUUAUUGUUAACGUGUGAAUUCAUUAAGGGUAAUUUAUGUAAGAUUUUCUAGAUUUUGCAAGUGAAUGCACCUUAGCUUUUCCUAUUGUAUUUGUGUUUUUUUAGGUUGAUUAUUUUAUUGAUCGUCACCACUCAAGGAAUGGAAGCAAUAGGGUCUCUAGAUGUACUGCGUAAAGGCGGGCAUACAGGCGUUGUUAGGAAUGUGUUUCCCAUGUCCAACAAGCAUAUUGACACCACCUAAAGCCAAGGCAUCUUUGGACGAGGAGUUCUAGCUUCUACUUCUGUGGACUUUGUAGAUGUCGUCUGGCUCUUCUAAAUAUUUAUUGUUAUGUAGUAGUUAUACACAUGUACUUUGUUUAAGUGAAUUGAUUAUUGGAUUUUUAGUUAAAUCAAAUUUAAGGGUAUGUUGUUUAAUUUACUAGUGAUCUCUUGUUUGUAAUUCUCGUUAUCAUAUAUAAAUCUUUGUUAGCAUUUUCCAAUUUCCUCAAUAGCAACUAUAUUAGUUUUCAGUGGAAUGAAUCUUGAGUAACUUGUAGUAUCAUUUUUGGUUUUGAAUUGACUAAUCUGUUUUGGAAGGAUGAAUUAGAUAUAUGAGCUUGAUUGCUAACAGUAGUUGAGUUUGUUUUGAUCUCGGGAUAUUUGCCUUGUUGAAUAGGACGUAGAUUUUGGGUCCAAAGAGUUGAAAAUUGAUGAGCUUAACCAAGACAUAGGAGAACCACAUGCAACACUAACCAGAGUUCCUACAACAAGCUAAUAACCAUGAUUUAGAAAUGUGAUUUCGUUAAAGGGAAGCAUUUCUAAUCUUAUUUGAAAGGAAACUUUGAUGUCUUCCCUAAUACACUAGAAUAUUAAUUUAAAAACAACAAUUAAGGUUAUAUUAACUAUUAUAAUAAUUUAUAAAUUAUAUAAAUAUGAUAAUAACUAUUAAAAUGAAAGUAUUAAAUGUAAAAAAGUUUAAUCUUGUUGGGUAAAAACUUCAUCAAUCUUUUAUUAUUGAACUUCUAUUAUAUAAUCAAACAUAGUGAUGAUCCUCGGUUGGAUUAAUCAACACUUGUUUCAUAAAUUGAACAACAUAUAACAUGAUCAACCAUAAACAAACAAGUAAACAUCAUACUAGAUAAAACUAUCUCUUAAGAUUUCUAUUAUUACAUGUUUAAAUUACAAAUCAUAUUUUUGCAACUUUCGUAAAAUUAUGCAAUAGAUAUGAUUAAAAUUACGAAACAUCGGAAAUGUAUAUUGAUUCAUUAUUCAGAUUCAUCAUAUCAUAUAUAUCCUUUAGUAGUCCAUAAGAUCAAAUAAUAACCAAAAUUCAAAAAAUAUGUUUUAUGAUCCAAAAUUGAUUGACACUAAUAUCAUUUGUUAAAUAAACUUUAUGUGAAAUAAUUAUUUUGGAAAAUCAAUUUGGAUGCAUAAUGCAUAAUAGGUAUAAGAAAUAAAGAAAUGACAAAAUAAUAAUUAUAUUCUUGUCUUAAUCCAUGAUACUGAUAACACUUGUAAUGUGAAUUUGAGUCAUUUUGUGAAUUGUUGGGUCAAGGUCUUCAACUCACCAUUCUCAUUUAGUAGAUGAGUCAAUUGUGUGGUAUAUGUUGUUAUAAGUAAAACAACUAAAAACAUAAGAAUGCAAUGUGACUUAGGACCUUAACUUUAUAAAAAAGAUUUAUAACUCUUAAUAUUCUCAUAAAAGAUUAUAUGAAAGUUAUACUCAUUAUUUAUAAACAUUAUACACAGAUUAAUGGACAAUGGUAAACUACCAACUUGAAUACAUUCAUGUAAUUGUAUAAAUUACACUUUUUCAUCUUCCUCUAUUAGUCAUAAACUUUAUGUACAAAUGAAAUCUCAUAAAGAUGGAGUUACACAAGUUGUAAUACCAUAUUCUUAUAAAUGAAAUUUUUCUAACUCUGUAUUUAUAAUUUUAAUCUUCUAUGUUAGAAGUUGAAUUUGUUCCACGUCGCCAAGUUAUUGGGUUAUUAUGUUGUUCAUAUAUGUAGAUUGGUCACCUCUCCAAGCUAGCUUUUGGGAAUGAAUUCUAUUCAAACCCAUUUAACAUGGUAUCAGAGCUUGGUUUGACUGUGGGUUGUGGGUUCGAGCCACCUCUCUGCAAUUCGCAUGUUUGUUCCUUAUUUGCAUGUUUGGAAGUCUAGAAAAGGUUAUUUGCAUUUGUUUGUCUCUUCACGUGUGGAUAUGGGACCACACAUAAGAGAGGGUGUUAAAAAGCUUGAUAUGUACGUAUAUUGAACCUAAAUCUUAUAAGUUUAAGCUUUUAGGAAAAUUAGUAAUUCAACAUUCUAUACAUAAAAUUAUUUGAUGUCCAAUCAAUUGAUUCACCUACCUAUCAAUUAAUAUACUUUUAAAUAAAAUAUAUUUCAAUCCAUUACACAAAUAUAAUUAAAACAAAAUACUAUAGUAAUGUGAGUAUGUGAUAAAUAAAUAAAAUAAAAAUAAUCACGUGUUACAUGUAAACUAUAUUCAAAGGAAAAACCCACUAUUAAACAAUCCAUUGUAUAAUGAUCAAUUACAAAGACCAAGUAUUACCAAACUUAAAAGUAUCUAAAUCAUACUCACUUUGCACAUUUUCUUUAUACUUGGAUCCUUUAAACACAUUUAUCCCAAUGUGGAUGCAUCUUGAGUUCUAAUCAAGGAAAUCAACCUUUGAGUAAAAUUUUCAUCAAGUUAAAGUCUCUUUAUAUCAUUGAGAACCAUAUCAAGAUUUCUUUUUGUUGGUUGCUUUCAAAGUCCCACUAGAAUUAGAAUGAACAUUUUAUAAAUUCUAGGACUUUAACAUAUGAAUUCUUCAAUGAGUCAAUCAAAUAUUAAAUUUUAUCUCCAUAGAUGGACCUCAAUGAAUUUUUCAACAAAUUAAAGGUGUUAACACUAAUUUCAUAUUAGAAAAAAAAAAAAAAUCAUGUGACACAUAUUGAUAUAUAUAUAUAUAUAUAUAUAUAUAUAUAUAUAGGUGUUGUCUGGGAUAAAUAGAUUGAAUUCAUGAGAAAAUUAUUCUUAAUUUUGUAAAAAUUAUAUAUAUAAGAAAGUUUUUAGACUUACUAAAACACAUUACUAAUCAAGUGGUAAUAUUUAUAUCUCAUUAUUUUGUAAUCAAGUCUCAUUCAUUUGUAUCACAUAUGAGUCCUAUUAUUUUAUACCUUACUCUUAUUAUAUUGUACUUUGAUCUUAUUUGUUUAUACAUCGAUUUCAUUUCUUUAUAUGUUCAUCAUAUUUAUUUAUAUCUCGAUCUUAAUUAUUUAUAUCUUUCAAUAGUUUAGAUUUCAAUACAUAUUUUUAAAUAUUUUAAUUGGAAAUUCAAUAUCUUACUAUUUUUCUAAAUAGCUACCUAUAAUCCUUUGUAGACUCAAAAUUCACUUCAAGCCAUCAAAAAAAUCGACCUCUCUUUGUAAGUUGCUAUACUCAUUGCUAAACUAUAAUUCCAAAAAUAGCAGAACUUUUCAUACUUAUUCUAGGCAAUUAGAGUCGAGAUGUUCCAGGCAUAUACCAUUGUCUUUCAAGAUUUGAAAGAAAUGUUACGAUUUCAGCAUGAAAUAAUGCAUGUCGAUUAACAAUAUUGCUCAGAUUCUUUAGGCAAAGGUCCCAGCCUAGAGAUUGAUAAUGUUUCUUUGAAGCAAAAUGACAAAAUGGAAUAACACAAGAAAGCCAGAACCAAUUAAGUGUCCACAGACAAAAAAAUUUAUUUAUUUAUUUUCUGAACCACCCCUGAAAUUGACACCUCCCAUACAGUCUGCAUUUCUGUGGCACUAUUUCCCUUAUUCCUAACCAUAAAUCUGCUGCCAUCUCAAUAAUUCACAUCCUUAUCCACUCCUUAUCUAGGGUUGUAACACUUUUUUCAAAAAGAUUUUUUUUUUUUUUUUUCUAAGGGGUGGAUAAGGGUCCUGAGACAAGCUGUGGAAUAAUUAUAAACCCACUUGGGUAAUGGUUUCAUUGUCAGGGUAAUACUAUUUAAGGUGAAAAUCAGCUGGGUCUAUCAUUCUUGUUUCCAUAUGACUGUUUCCAAGGAUAACUCAACCUUCAAAUCCAUCGAGCAGUCAUAUAAAAAUACACGCAGAUUUCAUAUUUUGAAGCUUGUCCUGUGUUCAGAUCGGAUAACUCACUCAUAUGCCUAAUCACCAAUCGCCAACUUGAGCGUAAAAAAAGCGUGGGGCGAUAUUAUUUGUAUAUGGGUUUGACUGUUUGAGAGAGAAAGGUGGGGUGUCCCUUGGAGGAGUCCAAAGGCCAUUUUUGAACCUGCCUUUGAUUAUCGCCAUGGCAAAUCAACAGCUUGUAGUGUAUAUAUAUAUAUAUAUAUAUAUUAAUGGAGACCAAGACUCAAAUAGAGAGAGAGACGCGGGAUGCGAUAAAGAGAACAGUAUAGCCAAGAGUAUAUAAGCAUUUCUAUUGCUGUAAUGGUGAUUCAGAGACUGGAAAUGUGUAUAUCACUGCUGAAAAUGGCAGUAGAGUUUGUGCUUGUUUUCGCGGAGGCAGUCGGGCUAGUCAUCAACCACAAUGCCACGCCGCUUUUGGCAAACUCAGCCUCAGUUGGCAAUGAUGUUUCUGUCCCUUUUAUCGGUUUUCUUCUUUGAAUUCUUCGUCUUGUAGUUUCCUUCCUUAGCAGAAUGCCCAUUGGCCAUUGUAUACGUUGAGGUUUCAUUUUUGUCUUGAUAGAUUUUGCCUUGGAAAGUGUCUGUACUACCAGCUAAAAGAUGUGAAUGUUUGAUAGGAGAGAGUACAUAUAACAUCUUUGUAAACUUCGAUUAAUUUUGGUUCUGGGUGAGCUUCAUCUUCUGCAAAUUCAUUUGCUGGUAGCUUUGGAAAUGAAUCUUCAGUGGUUUGGGUGGUGAUUAUUUGCUUGCUUCACACGAUUUUAUGUGUUGUUCCUUUGGUAAUAAUCUUGUUGGAUGGAUCAAGGAGGAGCGAUGAUCAGGAAAAUAAAGUCGGGAGAAAGAAAAGAUAUAAUGAUGAUUAAGAAAGGCUUUAAUAUACUUGCAAGAUCAGGAAAAAAUAUUUCUUGGUUAAUCAAUUAUUUUCUUGCUUGAUAUGGGUUUGAUACUUUUUGUCAAUUGGUGAUCAUUCUGGGAAGAUCAGGAAGAAGAAAAUGGGGUCUAGAUGAAGAAAAGCUAUAAUGGUGAUUAUUAAUUGAAAUCAGAUGAAAUAAAAGUCUGUUUCCAUCAUUCUUAAUAGGGUUUCAUAGUCCCCGCAGGACUUUAGUACUCAUCAAACUCAUAAAUUUUGAACAACUUUGAGCUAACCUUCUGCAUUAAUUUGGUGCAUCUGCGCAGUUGCAGAGUAUGAACACCCACAAAAUCUUAAUAUGAAUCUUUUGGGGCAAUAGCUUCUAUAUAUGAUGGAUGAUAAGAACAAAGCAAAUCUUGGGUUCUCCAUGGCCACGAUCAUUUAUCCGCCAUAUAAAAUGCAGAUUUUCCUAACACCAACCCCUUAUUUUAAUAAAGUCAAGUUAUUUUAAGGCCCCCAUUAUUAGACAUGCCCUAGAAGCAUUGGGUCUGUGAUUAAAAAAAUGUAGUAAUAUCAUUUAAAAUAUCUAACACUGAAAUUUUGAUAAUUUUGAAUGUCAUAGUGUGGAUUUGAAGAAAGAAAUCGUAUCCAAGAUCUCUUCCUUUUCCUGGGAAACAUUAGUCUUGGUCAAUUAUGAACUGUUACACGUUACCUAUCAUGAUCAUAUUUAUAUUAGCUUUGAUUUCUAUGGGGGUUAUAAUUUAUUUGUAUGCUAAUCAUAGAGGUGAUACAUGUGAUCCACAUGUCAUAUUUGGACUUGGAACCAAUCAUUGGAUUCCUUUGAUGAACUGGCAAUGGAAGAAUACUAAUUGCUCCGGUCCCUUUCUUUUUUCAACGUAGGAUGAUCAGGUCCUUUGAUCUCUUCCACACCCACUGGCUGUUUUUCUUUGUUCCUUUUUCAAUCAUCCAUAGCUGAAAAGCCUUGAUGCCCUCCUUGACUUUCCCAAGAUAAAACACCUUAUCUUCACUUUCUUUCUUUUCCCUUUAAAUUUGAUUUUAGAUCUGAAAUCCAGGGCUUAUGACCCUGUAGAAGAAAGACAGAUAUGAAGCUUGGGAUGAUUUGAACUUCAGUUUGAUUUUCUGCACACUGUUUAAAACUCCUGAAAUAUAGUUGUAUAUUGCAAUACAUUUAUAAUUGAUACAACUGAACCAUGAUGUUUCUAUUAGUAAAAAUUUCUUUGAAUCAAUCCACAGUUCAAAGUACCAAUUUCAAUUGAAACUUUUUUCUUUUCCUGCUUAUUCAAUUGUUUCGUUUUCCACAUAAUGGUAUGACAACAUCAAGAAUACUUCUCAGCAAUUGCCUGCAGGUGAACCCAAAGCUCUUUUGGCUGAGACAUCAUGACCAUGUGAUCAGAUCCUUUAAUCUCUUUAACAGCAUCAGGUGGGUUUUCUUCGAUCAUCCAGAGUUGAAAAUCCUUUUUCGCCAGCUUGUCUUCCUCAGAAAUAAUAAAGACACGUUUAACCGAGGCAUAUUUCUUCGACAACAUGAGAUCCUUUGACAUGUCUUCUUCACUGAACAAGCGUAAGGGUCUCAUCAACAUAGUCCCUAGUGCCAAGUCCUGGAAAAUUUGUGCCCAAAAUGAUAUAACAACAACAAUGAAAAGUCUCAUGAUUUUGGCUGUAAGGCCUGAAUUAAUGAAGUUCUCACCUCAGUUGGGCUCAACUGAUACACAUUCAGUGAUGAGAACAAGGGGCCAAAGGUGAAAGUGGUGGGAGGAUUGUUGGGGCCAUUAUCAUAUGUGAACUGGCUGUCUAGUAGAGGACCUUGUCUCCUGAGUGACUUCAAUAAGAAGUAGAAACCAGGCUAAAAGUCAGAAACAGGGGAAGCCUUCCCCUCUUAAUCAACAAGUAAAUUUCUGUAAAAGAAAAAUAGUAUGUAUGAAGUACCUCUUGAUUGAGAGUGGAAAUGUUGAGAGUGGGACCAGGCAUUGAGGCAGUAACAAAAACAGCUACAGAAACCUUUUCUGGGAACUUCUCCAUGGCCUGAGAAAUGGCCAACCCACCCAAGCUGUGUCCAACGAGAACCACCCUUUCAUCUGCAGGGAGUGACUCCAUGAAGUCCCUCAGUGGCUGGAAAUACUCAGAAAUAGAUCGCAGAUCACCCACUUGUUUUGGGUUAAUUCCAGAAGCAGCCAAGUCCAGAGCAGUGACUUUGUGGCCAGAUGAUUUUAGUAGUGCCACAAUCUUGUACCAAGACCAGGCACCAUGGCAAGACCCAUGAACUAGAACAUAGUGCUUGACGGGAUUAGCCUGUCUCCCCUCUGAUGCCAUUGAAUACACUGAAGAAACAAGAAAAAUCAGAAAGGAAACUAAAAUCGUAUGCUUCUUCCUUUCCUGCGUACUCCUUUCCUGUUACAGAGAUGGUCAGCACCCAAGCAUUUUAAAGGGCACAAUUGGCUUUCACUACAACUACUAAUCUAAUGGAUUAAAAUUUUUCCUGUGAAAUUGACUCUAGAAAUAAAAUAAGGAUUAAGGAUUCAAGAAUAUGUACACAUAGACUGCCAGGGUUUAAAAGAUGACACAUGCACCUGCGUCACACUCUUUUUCAAUGAUAAAGAAGUUAUGCAAAGGAAGAAAGAAUGAAAUAUACAGAGUCUAGUAGUUAACUCCUCCCCUUGAAUUCUUCUGUUGCCCGGAUUGGUUUGUAACUGCAAACAUUUUCUUUUCCCAAUGUGAUCUGUGGAUUGAGUUCUGAUCUCAAUUUGUUUUUGGCAUUUUUGGUUUUGCUUCUGCAAAUCUUGAGAUGUAUCUUUCAAUUAAUAUAAGUAAGUUAUGCAGUAAAGGUUUUUGGACAUAUAAAAUGUUAGCCAAACCUUUCCCAUGGCGGGUUGAAGGUACUUUGGGGUAGGCUUGGUCACGCUUGAUACCUCAAUCGGACUGAAACAUGAUGUUUUCACCCAUUUGAAUUGGUCAAAGCUGUGUUGACUGGCAUGAUUCCUUUAAUAAAGAAGUUGUUUUUGGAUUAAGGCCUACAACACCAAUUUCACUUAAAUACAUCUAUUUAAUAAUUAUGUAUUAACAUAAUUAUAAUCAAUUGAGUCGAAAACAAUUAAAUUAAAAAGUUAAUUAUAUUGACUUAAAUAAAAUCUGACUCAACCAGAUUAUUAAAUAAAUUACUCAACUUAUUACAUGUUUAAUAAUUAAGUCGUAUUUGGGUUUAUACUUUUAACUCAAUUAUUAUUCAUGUUAUAUUUGUGUUGACUUAUUAAGUCACAGUAUCUAAAUUUAAUUUGAUAUGACAUGAACACUACCCACCAACAUUAAUUGUAUCCCCUGUUUUAAGUUCCGGUGGCAUCAUGAGUUUGGCCUCUGUUUUGAGUGUUGAAUUAACCUUUCCCAUGGUUGUCAAGUUCUUCAUAAAUUAUUGGUGAUUGUAAUAAUUUCCUCAUAAAUUAAUGGCGCUAUAUGCUUCUUUAGGAUCCAUUGAUCUUACUAAUUCUCUUCCUGGUAUGGGAAGAAAAUGACUCUUCCAUUAAUGCAGCAUGCAUUGCUACUUAUUUAUCAAGCAAAUUACAUUAUUAUUUUCACACCAAACCUCCAAAUUCAUCAUGUACUUAUCCUAUAUACUACAUGGUGAACUUUAGAGAGCUAAAACAAGCUCUUCUUGAUUAAAGAUAGAUAAUGUCCUAUUGACCUUUUUACUUUGAUGCCUUGAAAUGAGAAAUUUGGAUGUUUUCUACAUCAAGCUUCUUGAAAUUAUUGUGCUUUCUCGUAGUAAAGAAUUUUCCCAAGUUGUGUACUUUGGCUUUUCCCCCUUUGUCAUCUCCUCCAAGGGUUGCACCCAAACACGGUGUUCGGGAUUGAAAAAGAACGGAAUCAAAAACCUUUCCCUCUCUGAAUUCACCAUCACCCUAUGCUCCACACUCUCAUAAGUAUCGUUGCUCCAUACCUGAUUUAAUAUCAAGAUAAUUAGACAAAUGGGUGUGUAAAAUUCCUUGAGCCAAACUGUACUGAUAAGCAAGUACUAAAGACGAUACAGGCUUUGAGAGUUAAAGGUCGUUCUUUCUAUAAAUCAAGGCAAUAAGUAUAUAUACAACAUACAACAUAGUUGCUGUUACAGGCUUACCAAAUUAAUUCCACAAUAAAGGAAACUAUACAUGGUUGGUUACCAAAACAAAAAUAGGAGAUUAGCUAUACAUAUUACUAAAAUAUAGGAUUUGAUAAAGAUUGAAGUGGACUUUCAAAUGAACCAUUUUCCUUAUCAUGACCCCUCAAGAUAGACUUCGAUUGAAUGCCUAGCUUGACGCACAAGUGUUGUAGAUGAGCUAAGGAUUGUGGCUUUGUUAAGGCAUCAACAAGUUGAUCCGCGAAAGCAAAAUGAGGCACGCGAAAAGUGUAAUCUUGAACUCACAAAAUGAAAAUAAAUAGCAAUAUGCUUCAUCCAAAAUGUAAAAUUAGGUUGGCGCAUAAGUAGGUGGUACCGACAUUAUCACAAUAGAUUGGCAUGGGUUUGGGAACUGAAAUACCCAACUCAAGUAAUAGGGAGUUAAGCCAAAGAAGUUUGGAAGAAGUUGUAGCUACAACAUGAUACUCUACCUCAGUUGAGGAACGGGCAACAAAUGUUGCUUCUUUGAACUCCAAGAAAUGACAUUAUGACCUAAAAACACAACAUGAGCACUAGUUAAAGUACGAUCAUCACGAUCACCAAUCCAAUCUACAUCGGAGAAGGCAUGAAGGCUAAGAGGGGAUCCUUUUCGAAGAAACAAACAAUGAUGCGUUGUACCUUUAAGAUAACGGAGAAGAUGUUUGAGUGCCAACCAGUGAGUGGUAGUAAGUCUAUGCAUGAAUUGAGAGAGUUUAUUGAUUGAGAAAGCAAUGUUUGGUUGAGUGAAGAAGAGGUACCGAAGACCACCAACAAUAGAUCGAUACUUAGUCGAAUUGGUCAAGGAUGUGCCAUCCACAAGGCUAGGUAUCUGAGAUGUUGACAUAGGAGUUGUGAAUGACUUGGAAUCCAUCAUUUUUGUGUGCUCCAAAAGAUCUAAAACAUAUUUGUGUUGAGAAAGAAAGAGACCAAAUGAGCUUGGAAUAACUUCAACCCCUAAAAAAUAAGAGGCAACACCUAAAUCUUUAAUGGAGAACCGAGUAGCAAGUGUGUGAACAAAAUGAUUGAGAGUACCAUCAUCAUUGCUAGUAACAAUAAUAUCAUCAACAUACACAAGUAGGAAAAUGGUAAAUAGAGACUUCUUAUGGAUGGACAAUGAAGUGUCAAAUUUGGGGUAGAAACUGCUUCACAAACCCUUGAUGGAGUAGAAACUGCUUCAGUUCUUGAUACAAGGCACAUGGUGCUUGUUUGAGGCUAUAAAUAGCUUUCUUAAGAUGACACACAUGGCUUGGAAACUAAGGAUCAACAAACCUUGGUGGUUGAGCCAUAAACACAUUUUUGGCAAAAGUCCCAUGAAGAAAAAGCAUUGUUCACAUCAAGUUGACAAAGUGACCAAUUGAAGGAAAAUGCAAGACUAAGAAUGAGUAGACCAGUAGUAGGUUUCACAACCGGGCUGAAUGUCUUAGCAUAGUCAAUACCAGGGAGUUGAUGAAAACCCUUGGCGACAAGAGGAGCCUUGUAUUGAGCAAUAGAGCCAUCAGGAUUGCGUUUGAUUCGGAAAAUCCAUUUGCAACCAACUAGAUUCUGUGACUUAGUAGAAGGAUUCAACUCCCAUGUGCCAUUAUGAAGAAGAGCAUCAAAUUCUUCAAACAUAGCUUAACACCACUCAAGAAGCUUUAAAGUUUGGGUAACAUAGGCAGGUGCAACAUCAGGAGUGGUAGAGACAAAAGCAUACUUGGUGGAUGGUUUGAAGACAUUAUUCUUGGAUCUUGUAACCAUGGGAUGGGUGUUGAGGGUAGGGGGUCGAGUGGGUGGGAUGGGGGAAGGGGUAGGAUGUGGGGUUGAAAGCAAGAUUGGGCUUGGAGGGAAACUAUGUUGGGAUUGUGUAGUCUCAGCAUUGGGGGGUAAUAUAAUUGACUGGCCAGCAAGAGUGGUAUCAUGAAUGGUCGAAUGCUUAACUGGAGUGGUACCUAAGAUUGUAUUGUCCUGUGAUGAGGGAAUUGAUACGAGAGGGAAUGGAAUAGAUGGGACUAUGGUGGGUGGAGGUUUCUCGGCAGUUGAAGAAAAGAGGACCAUUAUCUCAACAAAGGUGACAUGAUGAGAGGUGAAUAACUUGUGGGAAACUCGAUCAAGGCAAAGGUAUGCACUUUGUGUAAGAGAGUAACCUAAGAAGACACAUGGACGAGAUUUGGAUUGAAGUUUGUGGUCAUUAUAUGGGAGUAACUAAGGAUAACAAAGACAACCAAACAUUCAUAAUUUGUCAAGAAUUAGGUUUGUGAUUGAAUAAUUUCUCAUAGGAAGAGAGGAAUGAGAGGUUUGGUUUAAGCAUUCGAUUAAUAAGAUAGACUAUAGCUUAAAAGGCAAAGGGCCAAAAAGAAGUAGGAAUGGAUGCAUGAUGGAAAAGGAUGAGUCUGGUUUUGACAAUGUGUCUAUGAUGACGUUUGGAGUAACCAUUAUGCUUAGGAGUAUGAGGUGGGGUGGUGAGAUGAGUAAUGCUAGCAAGAGCAAAAUAAUCUUUUAACGCUAGAAAUUCACCACUAUUGUCAUAAUAGAUUUGAAUUAUUUUGGAACUGAAGUAGUUUUCAACUAGAGCUUUAAAUCGAACAAAAACAUCAUAGACAUUAGAUUUCUUUUGAAGUGGAUAUAACCAGACAUAUUUGGUGAAGUGAUCGACAAAGAUAACAUAGUAUUUAAAGUUAUCAUUUGAUACAAUGGGAGAACUCCAAACAUUUGAGUAAAUAGUUUGUAAAUGAGAUGAACUUGUAAUAGAUGAUGUAGAGAAAGGUAGUUUAUGACUUUUAUUGCACUUACAAGAAUUACAAGCAAAAGUAGAAAUAUCAUUAGAUGAUAAAGAAUGACUCUUAGAGGAAACUAAAUAUUGAAGAACUUUGGAAGAGGGAUGACCAAGUCGAUGAUGCCAAUUUGGAAGUGAAGUCUUAACAUUGGAAAAUACAAUCAAAGGUUUUUUCGUAGUAGGAGAAUUCAACCAUACAUAAAAACCACCACUAUAGAAUAUAGAAUAUAAUUUUAUAUUUAAUUAAUUUUGCAUUUAAAUAAUAUAUGAUAAAGAUAUUACUUUUAUAUUUAAAUAAUAUAAGAUGGUAAUGAGAUAAAAAUGAAUGUUUUUAUGGUUAUAGGAAUAAAGAAAAAUAAAAUAAAAAAGAUUUCAAUUACUUAAUUAAUAGUAAUCCUAAUUUAAUUUCAAUUAAUAUUAAUCUUAUUUAUAUCUUUCCUUUCUUGAAUAUACCAUAAAAAGAUUUAAGUAGUAAAUAAAUACAUGGGUAGAAGGAUACAUCCAGUCAUGAGGUGUACCUAUAUAUUAAUUUUAUAUUUAAAUAUUAUAGAAUAUAAUUUUAUAUUUAAUUAAUUUUGCAUUUAAAUAAUAUAUGAUAAAGAUAUUAGUUUUAUAUUUAAAUAAUAUAAGAUGGUAAUAAGAUAAAAAUGAAUGUUUUAUGGUUAUAGGAAUAAAGAAAAAUAAAAUAAAAAAGAUUUCAAUUACUAAAUCAAUAGUAAUCCUAAUUUAAUUCCAAUUAAUAUUAAUAUUAUUUAUAUCUUUCCUUUCUUGAAUAUACCAUAAAAAGAUUUAAGUAGUAAUCUGGGAUAGAUAUUAAUUUUAUAUUUAAGAAAUAUAGGAUAUAAUGUAGAGAAUAGAGAUACACAAACAUAUUUUAUAUUUAAGUAGUAAUCUUCAUGAGCUUUACACAAACAAAAAACUUAGAUGUUUACAUCAUCUAGAAGCCCCACUUCGCCUCUCUCUCAGCCCUCAGCCCUCAGGCUUAAGAAGUUGUCAUGAGAAACCUAACACAAACCUUUCUUAUAAUUAUUGUUCAUAGUCGUAGCUACCAAGAAUUCCAAGUUAGGAAGAAAAAAAGAAUCAUAAAUACAGCAAAAAUAACUUCCACUACAUGCGGCAGCAGGGGUACCAAAUUAGGGAAAUUAAGAAGUAAACCAUGCCCAAUCAAUUGCUGGGAAAUAUUAUUUGGAUAUCAAAUUAGGGAAGCUAUUAAGUGUGGUUUUUGUAGUGUUAAAUCAGAGAGAAAUUUAAUUAUAUUAUGAAUUUCAAAUUUAAUUAUUCUAAGAACAAUGAAUUACUCUAAUAGAAUUUAAUGUAUAAAAACAUUUCAAACACUCGCAACAUAUAUCAUUUUCAUUUUUUCCAAAAGCACCAAAACCCUAUAACAAUGAAAAUAAACCCAAUAACAAUGGAAAUAAACCAAAUAACAAUGGAAUCUCAAACCUAAUCACAAACAUUUCCAAAAUACCAACUAACAAAACCCAAAAAAAAAAAAAAAUUCCCAAAACUCACCAAAACCUAGAGAGAUGAUUUUCACGGGAGUUUCUUGGAGGUGGCUUCAGCUUUACCGACCAUAGCUUCCAUGGGGCUUCUUCAGCAUGGCUUCCAUAAGCUUUUUUUGACAAUAGCUUCCUCCAAGCAAUGGGGGUUGUGGGUAGGUUUUGUGGGUUUUAUGGCCGUGGGUUUUGGAGAGGAAGAGAAAAUGGGUUGGCAGGAGAGAGAAAGAAAGGCUUUAUAUUCGAUUAGGAAAGUGAUGUGGCCGUGGGGUAUACCCACAUGGUUAAAAGAAAGACAUUUUUCCAUUAGAAAAAAAUGUCUCAUGGCUUUUUUUAUUGUUAUUGUUAUACCCAAAAAAAAUAAUUUAAUUUUAUUGUUAUACCCUAAAAUUUUUUUAUUGUUAUUGUUAUUGUUCUGUGUUCAGAACUAUUAAUUUAAAAAGUUUUUCAAGUUUUAAAAUUAUCAAAUUUUUAAAAUUUACAAUUAUUUUAAAAUUUUAAAUUUACAAUUAUUUUUAAAAUUUUAAAUUUAAAUUAAUUUUGAAAGUUCAAUGUUUUACUCAAAGUGUUAUUCUAAAAUUUUUAUUAAGUUUUAUCAAGUUUUUUAAGUUUUAAAAUUAUCAAGUUUAAAAUUUAAAAAUUUUAUAUAAAUACAAAGAAUAAUUAAAAAUAAAAUAUAACAUAUAAAUGUUAUUUUUUAAAACAUAUUUAAAAACAUAAAAAAUAUAUAUUAAGAAUAUUUUAGGUUUCUAAAUCAACUUUUAUUUUAAAAUACAUCGGCAAAAAAAUUUUUAAAAAUGUUUUAAAAAACCGUUUUUUGUAUAAUUGUUUAUGAAAAUGUCAAAAUACUUCACAAAUAAACCAGUUCGAGUCCCCUCAGGGCCUCGUGGGAUUAGUCGAGAUGUGCUUAAGCUGGUCCGGACAUCCACGGUUAUAAAUAAAAAAUAAAAAUAAAAAAAUAAAAAAUACUUCACAAAUAAAACUAUAAUUUAUUGGUAUUUUUGUGGGCCUUAGGUGUUAGGAAAUGUUAUAUGUGCAUCCUACUCCUACUCUGUCUUCAUUAUUUUCAGUCCCUUUAUAUCUUAUACCAAUCUACUAUUAUUUUAUCAUAUGGUAUCAGUUUUUCAUAUUUGAUGAUAUUAAUUUCUACCUUAUCCCAUAUGCUUGUAGCUUAAUUUCAUUAUACAUUUGGACAACAGAAUUUCAGACUUCCAUUUGGUACUAAAUAUAAUAAACAUAAACAGAGAAUGAUGCAUUUAAGAAUAUUUUUCCAUGAAUUUUAACUUUAUAAAUUUGUUAAUUUUACAAAUUUAAGAAUUAUAAAAGUUUAGAACUUUUAUUUUUAAUCAUAAACAGAGGAUGUUAUUUUUGUAGUUAUAAAUUGUUUUUGUAUUGCAAAAAUCAUAAAGAUUAAAUAAUAUUUUAUGAUUGAAAAUUAAAUAAAACUAUAAACAAUUUUACUAGUAAUUGUUCAUAGUAAAAUUUAGUUAUCAUGACUAUUGAUACUUUAAAUAUAAUAAGAAUUAUUUAUCAUAUAUAAAAUCAAAAUUGUUUUUUAAUUUGCUAACUCACUUGCAUUUAAACUUUUUAUCAAAUAAUAUCAAAUUGAACCAUCAUAUUUUUAAACUAAUUUAUUAAACUUUAUUUUGCUUCUUAUUAAAACAUUAAUUAUAACAAGGAAAUUAAAUAAUUUUAACUAAAGAAAAAUAGGUAACACACUAAUUUGUUUCUUAACUUAAAAAAAAAUAGUAAUAUAACUUUAAACUUUUUAUAAUUAAUAAGAACUAUUAUUAUUACUAUUAAUGAUAAUUUCUAUUUAUGAUAUAUAUAUAUAUAUAUAUAUAAGAUUUUCUAAAAAAUUAUAAUAGGUAACCCAAAAAUUGUUUAAAAUAAAUAAUAGACUUUGGUCACGAUUGUGUGAACCCCGUGGCCAUAGGUUCAAAAUAUUUAAAAAAAACUCUAUGCAUUGGUAAUGGUCAAGCGAAAUUUGUAACUACAGGUUCUUAUACAGUCACGGUCAAUCAAUGGCGUGACUAAAAGUCACGGUCAAUCAAUCACGUCACUCAAAGUCACAAAAUAUCUAUUUAGUGACGGUUUCACAAAAACCUGUGACUAAAACAUCUUUUUCAUUACACUUUUUGUCACGGAUGAUAAAAUAACCGUGACUAAAGUUAUUGGCGCCAAAAUUUCCCUCCAUAAAUUUACAAAUAGUCACAGUUUUAAAUAAAUCCGUGACUAAAAUACCUCUUAUUAAUCCUUUUGGUGACGGUUGAUAAAAUCACCGUGACUAAACAUGUUUUUUUUUUUUUCCAAAUUUGAUUUAACACAUAUAGUCACAACCUUACCCAAUAAUAUCUUUGGUGGGCCGUGACUAAAGAUUCGUCAUUAAAAAUCUAUUUUUUUGUAGUGCUAGUUGGUCCAUGCAAAAUUCUUGCCCCCGUACAUAGACCAUUCACAUAAAAACAAGUGGGUAAGAAUUCAAUGAAAACAUUAUUUGUUAAGCAAAAUUGGGAAAUUGAAAUCAAGUUCUUUUUCAUGGUGAGAACACAAGGGAUAUUAUUAAGUUGAAGUAGCUUUAAUGCAGUUGGGAGGGUGGUGGAUCCUGUGUGUGUGAUUUCUAGACCUUUACCAUCACCAAUAAUUAUGUCGUCUGGGCCAGCAUAGUCGGAAUGCAAAGAUAGAUUCUGAAGAUCAUUAGAUAUGUGGUGUGAGGCACCAAAAUCCAAGACCCAAUUUGGAGAGACAACAGUUGGUUGAGUUGUCGCAUGUGUUUGUGCAGAAGAGGGGCGGUAACUGUAAUUGGGUGGAACACCAUGAUGUUGACUGGCAAUAUAUCGAAAUGAUGGACAUCUUUUCGCUGAGUGUCCUUGAACACCACACAAUUGACAAGUCCCCUUAUAUGGAUGAGGGGUGUGAUUCGAAGUAUUCGAGGUAGUCAUUGGUUGAGGUUGUUUGGAUGUACGGUAUUGAGACGAAGAGUAAGGCUGUUGAUUGAAGAAUCGAUGCGAUUGUGGUUGUUUGGUAGCAGCAUUGGUGGAAGCAGGCAAUGAGACAUUCCAAGAAGAAUACUUGGCAGAUUCUCAUAAAGUUUGAGCCUCAAGAGGAAGCAAUUUCUCAUAAAGUUCCUCAAAGGAAAAACAGUUUCAUGGGCAUGGAUGGUUGAGUGUAAAUCUUUGUACAUCUCAGGCAAACCAUGAAAUAUUUGAAUAAUGAAGUCCUCAGGGUCUAUGGUGACGUUCAUGAGAUAGAGAACAUCAACGCAAAUUUUAACAAAUUGCAUAUACUGUGUUAUGGACUGAGUGCCUUUGGACAAGUUGUCGAGUUGAGUCCGAUAAUGAAUUAUUCGGCUUCGAGAUGCUUUAGCAUAGGUGUUGUGAAGUGUAGACCAAGCCUCAAGGGAGGUUGUGGCUGAUGCAAUGAAUGAGAAAAUUGUUGGACUAAGUGAUGAAACAAUAGCAUUAAGAAGAUGGUCUUGACGAAUCCAAUGGGUGUAAGCUGGGUUUGGGGUUGUAGUACCCUUUUCAGAAGUAAGAGUGCUAGAAGGACAUGGUAAAGUGCCAUUGACAUAUCCCAGUAAAUCAUAACCGACUAGGAGAGUGUAAAAUUGGAGUCUCCAUGCAGAAAAAUUGUGUUGAGUGAGUUUGAUGGGGGUUUGGGAAGAGGCGUUUAUGGCUAUGAGGUUUUGAGUAGUGUAUAUAGAGAUGUUGGCAGCAGUGUCGAUGGAGGAAACAAUUGAGGGGGAAGGGCUAGAGCCUUCGUUGGUUUAUGGGUUUGGUGAGGCAUGAGAAUCAACUAUGUGAGCUAUGGUUGCUCUGAUACCAUAAAGACGAUACAGGCUUUGAGAGUUAAAGAUUGUUCUUUCUAUAGAUCAAGGCAAGAAGUAUAUAUAUAGUAUACAACCUAGCGUUACAGACUUACCAAAUUAACUCCACAAUAAAGGGAACUAUACAUGGUUGGUUACCAAAACAAAUAUAGGAGAUUAGCUGUACAUAUUACUGAAAUAUAGAGACGAUCACGGAGGAUUUGAUAGAGAUUGAAGUUGACUUUCAAACGAACCAUUUUCCUUAUCAGGUACUAAUUCAAAGUUCUUGGGUGGUACUUGAAUUAUAUCCCCAACAUUGAUGAUAUAUGCAUCUAGGGUGGGCUUAACUCGAAUCCAUUCUCCAUCAGUUUUUUGCUUUACUUCCAACCCUCUGACAUCAUCCUGGGCAAGGAUGGUUAAGGCUUCGGCAUCCUUUUGGCAACGAACACCCAGAGCUAGGUGAGGGAUGGGGCAUGGUGGGUAGUGAUUGAGGCGGAUGAAGGUAGUUGAUUCUUCAAAGAAAAGAUUGAAUCUGUUUUCCGGCAAACCUAAGCUCAGAGAGAUGAGUCCCAACAUCUUGAAAGCUAGUUUUUCCAUUUCUCUAGCAUAUUCUUCACAUACCUCCCUGUAUAAAUUGGUUCAAUUAGAACCAAAAAACCAAGUAAAUCAUUGAAGUGACUCUGCCUUAGCUGGUGGAAUUUGUACCUUAAUUCAGGAGAGUACUGAGGCCACUGAUUGAUCAACUCUUUGAGCUCCUUGUCGUCAGGAUCAGGCGAAGCAGGGAUGAAGGCGGGGGAUGACACCACGAAAUCAAAGACUUCCUUCCAGUCCCUAACGUUCUUGGUAUGCUCAGUAUCAAAAUACCACAAAGGAUUCACCCCAUCUCUACUCACCUUCCUCUUCUCCUACAAUGGCAGAGCGAAGAACUUCCUCGCCGCAUCCUCAAUUUUCCGGCGAGACUCCGAGGGCAUCCCAUGGUUGAUGACUUGAAAGAAGCCUCGAUUCUUGGAUGCAUCAGCUAUUUGAGAAACAUGGUUAGAGGCAUUGGCGGAAGAGAGAUCAAUGAGUGGGAUGCCUUCAGCUUCGAUAACAACGAGCUUAGGCCCAUGUUGGGUGUCUUGGAUGAAGGCUGGAUCGACCUCUCCCAUGGCUGUGGUAGUGAUUAGAACCUAGAAAUGGUGGUUAUGCACUGGUAGCUGCAGGUUGAGAUUGUGAAGGGGACUUGGGCCACUUGGCAGGUGAUUUUUGUAGUGUAGUGGGGUUGGUUUGGUUCAUUGAACCUUGACAUAAUGACAUAAAUGGGAUACGUUUUAUAAGUUCAAGGAAUCAUGGUAUUUGGAAAAUAUGAAUGAGUUGAAAAUUUUAAAAAAUAGGUUUAUAGGAGUAUAUUUUAAGGAAAAUAAUUUUCAAAUCAUAUCAUGUAUAGGAUAGUGACUUUGUACAUGUUUGAGGGGAAUCAUGUCAAAGUGCACUAUUUGAAAAACAUGGCUAAAUUGUAAACUUAAAAAAGUGGUUUCAUGGAGAGUACAUUAUGAGAAAAAUAAUUUCCAAAUCAUGUACUAAAAUAAUAACUGUAUCCAUGCUUCCAAAACUACUAUUCAACAUAUUUUCAUCAUGUCACAUUUUCCUAUGACGUCAUUGCCCUCAUUUCUUAGAAGAAAAACCCUUUCUGUUCUACUUUACUUUACACUGUUUGUUCCUAUAACCCUUUCCUUUUUUUAAUUUUAAUUUUUUUAAAAAAAUAUUUCUCAUCUAUUUUCUCGAUUUUUAAAAUUCUAUUUAAUUAAAAAAAUUAGAAUUUUUUUUAAAGUACAAUUCAUUUAUUUAUUUUUUCAUUUUAUUUAAAUGUGAUGUAUAAUUAAUACAUUAACAUAAAUUAGUUUUUAAUAUAAAAAUAUAUUCAUCUAUAAUAAUUAAAAAUCUAAUAAAUAAAUAAAUAAAUAAAUAUUAGUAUUUUAAAUAAUAUUGAUUUCGUAUAUACAAUAUUUUAUUUUGUUUCAUUAUUAUAGAUCUCAUUUUCUAUAUUUUUUAUUUCUAAUUUUUCUUAUAGAAUUUUAAACCUAGAUUUUUUAAAAAUGAAAUUUAAAAAAACACUAGAAAUUAAAGUUUUUGUUUUCUUCAAAAUAAAAACAAAAAAAAAAUAAUAUACAAAAAAAAAAUAUUAGUUUACCUUUAAUUUCAUUCAACAAAAAAUUAGUAAUGAUAAUUUUUUAAGAGUAUUUAAUUUUAAAAGUAAUAUUUGAAGAUAGGUAAAAUAAAAAUUUUAAAAGUGUUUGUAUUAAAAUUUUGAAUAUAAAUUCACAACUCCCAUCAUAAUACAUUGAUAUUUAAAAUAAAAAAAACCCCUAAUGAUUUUUUUUUAUUAUAUUAAACAUGUAAAAAAAGUACAUUUUUGUUUAAUUAAAAAUUUAAACCAUUAAAAUUGUUUUUUUCUUUAAUAAAUAAUGUUUUUAAAGAGUACAUUAUACCUAUUUUUUUGGGCAUGUUAUUUAAUAAUUGCUACCAAAGUCAUAACAAUGACAAUAAAAAACUAAAUAUAAUAGUGCAUAUUUGCUAUCUAUAGUGGUACUUUUAGUUACUAACAUUAUUAUUUUUAAGUAAAAAUAAUGUUAUUAUUUCCUGACAUAUUUGAUGUAGAGGUUGAAGUGAUGACAGUGCUAAAUAAGUUAGUACAUCCUAUUAUCUACAGUGAUAUUUUUAGUUACUAUUAUUAUUAUUUUUAGGUAAAGACAAUGUUACUAUCUCUAGUGAUACAUUUGAUGUAUGGAUUGGAGUGGUGAUAGAUGAUGUAACAACUGUGUAUAUGGGGUCAAUCAAGUGUAAUUGUCCUCUUAUUUGUAUAGAUCGCAACCCACCUCCGACAGUGGUUGAAAAGUAGUCUUGGAAGCAUAUCACCAAAGGGACAUUUUGAAUAAUAAUUUGGGAAAAAGCGUUCAUCAGACAUAGCCUAAAAAGUAUAUCCCAACAUUGCUGUUUAUUUAUCAAGCAAAUUACAUUAUUAUUGUCACACCAAACCUCCAAAUUCAACAUGUACUUAGCCUAUAUACUGGAUGGUGAACGGGCUAAAACAAGCUCUUACUGAUUACAGAUAGAUACUGUCCUACUGACACUUUUACUCUGAUACCUUGAAAUGAGAAAUUUGGAGGUUUUCCACAUCAAGCUUCUUGAAAUUGCUGCGCCUUCUCGCAGAAAAGAACUUUCCCCAGUUGUAUGCUCUGUAAUUUUGCUUUUCCCCCUUCGUCAGCUCCUCCAAGGGCUUCACCCAAACAUGCUGCCCGGGAUUGAAAGAGAACGGAAUCGAAAACCUUUCCCUCUCUGAAUUCACAGUCACCCUGUGCUCCACACUUUCAUAAGUAUCAUUGCUCCAGGCCUGGUUUAAUAUCAGUAUAAUUAGCCAAAUGGGUGUAACUGAGCCAAACAGUACUGAUAAGCAUGUACUUAUAAUUCGAAGUUCUUGGGUGGUACCUGAAUUAUAUCCCCAACAUUGAUGAUAUAAGCAUCUGGGGUGGGCUUAACUCGAAUCCAUUCUCCAUCGGUUUUUCGCUUUACUUCCAACCCUCCGACAUCAUCCUGAGCAAGGAUGGUUAAGGCUCCGCCAUCCUUGUGGCGACCAACGCCCAGAGCUAGGUGAGGGAUGGGGCAAGGUGGGUAGUGUUUGAGGCGGAUGAAGUUCGUUGAUUCUUCAAAGAAAAGAUUGAAUCUGUUUUCCGGCAAACCUAAACUCAACGAGAUGAGUCCCAAUAGCUUGAAAGCUAAUUUUUCCAUUUCUCUAGCAUACUCUUCACAUACCUCCCUAUAUAAAUCAGUUCAAUUAGAACAAAAAAGAUAAGUAAUUCACUGUAGUUAUUGUGCCUUAGCUGGUGAAAUUUGUACCUUAAUUCAGGAGGGUACUGAGGCCACUGAUUGGUCAGCUCUUUGAGCUCCUUGUCGUCAGGAUCAGGCGAAACAGGGAUCACGGUGGGGGUUGACACCACGAAAUCAAAGACUUCCUUCCAGUCCCUAACGUUCUUGGUAAGCUCCGAAUCAAAAUACCCCAAAGGAUUCACCUCAUCUCUACUCACCUUCCUCUUCUCCUCCAAUGGCAGAGCGAAGAAUUUCCUCGCCGCACCCUCAAUUUUCCGGCGAGACUCCGAGGGCACCCCAUGGUUGAUGACUUGAAAGAAGCCCCAAUUCUUGGAUGCGUCAGCUAUUUGAGAAACAUGGUUGGAAGCAUUGGCGGAAGAGAGAUCAAUGAGGGGGAUGCCUUCAGCUUCGAUAACAGCGAGCUUAGGCCUAUGUUGGGUGUCUUGGAUGAAGGCUGGAUCGACCUCUCCCAUGGCUGUGGUAGUGGUUGGAAGUUAGAAAUGGGGGUUAAGCACUGGUGGCAGCAGGUGUAGAUGGUGACGGGAAAUUGGGCCACACGGCAGGUGGUUUUUGUAGUGUGGUGGGGUUGGUUUAGUACAUUGAACCUGGGCAUAAUUUGGGUUACUUUUUAAGGUUUGGUUGAGGGUGUGACCUCAUGGAUUGCGCAUAUAUUAAUGAUAAUUGGUCAAGUGAUACUGCAGUCCCAAAGGGAAUCUCUCUCAAUGAUUUUGCCGACAGCUCCCUCCACAUUAAAAUGUUUCAUCCGUAUUUGAAUUGGAGUCUAAUGCUCUGAUCAAAGAUACCUUUCGCUUAGUCGAUCAGUGUUUGAUUACUAAAUAAGAUGGUGUCACAAAUAUUUUUGAAUUCUAGGUCAAAGUUAACGAGUGCAAAGGUUAUCAAUUUGAUAAGAUAAAUUGUUUAGAAACACUUUUAAAAAUGAUUCUUGAAAAAAUAUUUUUUUAAGUUUAAAAACCAUUUUUAAAUUUAGAAUAAAGGUUUAUUUAAAAACUUAUAUUAUUAUAAACUUAUUUUUUAUAUUUUUAAAAAAUAAUUUUUAUAUAUAAUAUUUUAUUUUCAAUCAUUUUUUACAUUUUUUUUAAAAAGGUAAAACUACUAAAAAAAAUACUUAAAAUAAGUUAUCAACAAAUGUCUUAUUGUCAUGACAAUUUUCAAAAACAUGUUUUAGAAACAAUUGAAAAUCAAAGUAUUUUCAUAUUCCUUUAUUCCCAAAAACAAAAAAUUAUUCUUGGUAACGGUUCCAAAUGUAUCCUUCAUUUGUUUAUCUUAUUAUAUAAGUUUUAAAAUAAAAUACAAAAAAUAAUUUUCAAUGAUAAUUUGUUACGGUUUUAUCCAAAAUUUUUAUAUUUUUAAUCAAUUAAUUUAUUGAUACGUAUAUUUCUCAUGAGACCUUUUUCUCACUAAAAACAUUACUUUUUUAUAAGACAUUUUUAAUAAAUUAAUUUUGAUACGUAGAUUAAAAAUGUCUUAUAACAAUAUAAAUUAAUUAAAUCAUUAGUUGGCCAUUUGGUCUCAUGCUUACACAACGACUUCUCUCAUGGCUGCCUAACAUGAAUGAACAACUCUCUACAACAAGUAAGGUACACUUAAUUAAAAAAUUAUUUAAUUUAAAGAUGUUCGAGAAUGAGAAUUUCAAGUAGCACUUGAAUGAAUUUAAUGAGACCACAAAUUAAUUAAAUUCGAUGGUUAUUAAAUUUGAUGAUAAGAUUCAAGCCUUAUUAAUCCUCGGUUAAUUGCUUGAGAGUUGGAAAGACACAAUCACCUCAAUCAAUAGUUCAUCCAAAAAAUCAAAAUUGGUGUUUUCGAAUGUAGUAGACAUGAUUAUAACCGAGGAGAUCAAGAAGCAUGAAGAAGGUUUUUCAAAUUCAUGAUCAACAUUAAAUAUGGAGAGCAAAGCUAGAAAUCAUAAUAAAGGUAAUAGGCGUGAUAAAUCCAAAUCGAGGAAUGAUAGGUUGAAAUACAAAAAUUCCAUAAAUUCCUAACAUCAGACGAGUAAGAACAAUAUCAAAUGUUGGAAUUGUGAUUGGAGCUAAAAUAUGUGCUCAAAUGACAUAUAUUUGAUAUGAUUUAUAUAUCAUAAGACACUCAAAUCAUCUGACUCUACCCAAAUUGAUACUAAGGUCCUAGCCAUGAGUUUAACUUGUAUUUUGGAGAUUUAUCUCAGGUUUAAGAAAAGAAAAUGGUGUAAGGUGAAUCAAUUUAGAUUUUGAAAGAAUAAGAAGGGGUUAAAUGAGAAAAUGAACAAGUCAAGACUCAUGAAAUAUGAAGAAAGGAAAGACGAGGAUAUCGUGAGUUUGGGAGAUGAGGAAUGACCAUUAUCAUGAAGUAAGAAAUAAGGCAUACAAACAUAGAAAAUGAGGCAUGAAACAAAAUUCAUCAAGUUUGCAUGGAAAUUUGGGACUCAAAAUCUGGUAAUAACAUAUACUCUGACUUUAAAAUGAAAUUUGGAGCAUUUCCCAAAGUCCAUUUUAGGCAAGCUAUAUAUUGUUUUGAAGCAUGGGAAGUUAGGAAUUCAAAGCUUCAAACAAUGUCCAAAUUAGAGCUAAAUAAGGAAGUUAUGCACAUUUAAAGCAAACUAGUUAGAGAGAAAAACUGAGUUCGAAAUUGGUCACUUGGAUUUGAAAUGGUUUUUGUCCAUUUAAAACUCAAAGAAAUGAAAGAAAACUUUUGGCAUUGGCUAAGUUUGAAUCUCUUUACCUAUUUCAAACAAGAGGCAUACAUUUCAAAGUCAAAUGAACAUACAUGGGCAGUGAGUGAGUUCAAAAUUCACUAUGAAUUUUGAACUCACCUUGUUGAUUUCAAAUUGGACCAUUUAUUUCCCACUUAUGAGUUCAAAAUUGAUUUGAACUCACCCAAAUUUCGAACUCAACCAUUAGUGACCGAUUUUAGGCUCUGAGACAUGUCAAAACGAGUUUCAAAUGCCUUUAUCCAAUUCAAAACGCAUCAUACUCAUUUAGAACUCGUAAUUUUUGGGGUUUUUUUUAAAGGUUAUUUAUGACUUUUCGUUACAAUAAGUGGCCAAUGAGAGUGUACCACAUGUUAGGUCAUUGAAGUUACUAUAAAAACUCUUUUAGUUAUAGUGUUUAGGUGAUCUUCCAAGAGUUAGACAUUUCGUGGGGAAGAAUACGAGAACUUUUGGUUUAUUUAUUUUCUUCUUUAUUGAAUGUAUUGUUUUUAGUUUCCUUUAUUUCAAAUUAUGAAUUUUUACUUUAUUAUGGAUUGUGAAUGUGACAUUACCCCCAUGAGAGGAUAAAAAGCUAACUUGGGGCUUAAACAUAAAAACUAACGGUUAGAAAACUUAUAGGGACAUUAGGUAAAUUAUUAUAACAAUAAGAUUAAUUAAUGGUUGAGUUACAAUUUAUUAAUUUUUUAUCCUAUCAUUGUGAGUUAGUUUAGAGAAUAAUAUAGUAGGUGAUUAUUCGAUACUAGUGAUUCUUGGUAACUCUUGAUCAUUAGUAAUCCUGAUUUUUCUUAUAGUUAUCUGCCCCAAAACGAAGUUAGAAGGAGUAGGAAAUGUUAAAAAGCCAAACCUUAAAUUGAUAAUAAUUUCAUUCAUUUGAUGUGUUGACAAAUCAGAGGGUUGGCUGCAUCCAUCAACUCUCUUUGUGUUCGCCGUGAGCACUUGGGUGAAUGCACUAUAAGGUUAGAGUAUGCACAUUUCUUAACAGCAAUUGCUUUUAGGAGAAUUGGUAGUGCCUGAGGUCCUACAUGAUAGUUUUAAGAACUUGUUUUAAAAAGAAAAAUUAAGUUUUAGAUGUACUUUUGAGUUAUAGGGCUCAAGUUGAUUGCAAGCGGCCAAGAAUCCCAAAACCCUAAGAUCACUCUAGUUAAGAAACCUUUGUUAUCUCUAUUUCUAUACCUUAAGUUAUAUUGUGGAAAACCUCAAACUUAAAUCAAUUAAAUUAAAAAUCAAUAUUCGUUUUGUUAUUAAUUUAGUUUUUUUUUUUUUUUACUUAGUUUCACUUCAUAAAAGUUAAUUCACAUAUUGUUUUUCGCUUUAGGAUUUAAAUAAAAACAAUUCAUUUAUCCUAGUAUUGAAAAAUUCCAUAUGUUAGUCCCUAAGGAUGAUACCCAAAGAAUUACAAAAACCAUAGUGACUAUUUCUCUAGUUUUUUCUUAACCAAAGUUACUAUGUAAAAAGGCUUAGUAUUUUACAUAAGAGAGAAGAUUGAUCAAAUUGUGGAAAGAAGAGACAUUAUAAAAAUGAGUGUAAGGCUGCCAAGAAGGAUAAGGAUGGUGACAACAAGACCAAUGCAAAUGUUGUGUCAAAAGAAUUAGAUGAUGCUCUUAUCUGCUAUUUAGAGAGAACAACAUAAUCGUGGGUAUUAGAUUCAGGGGCAUCGUUCCAUGCUACCUCAAGUGGAGAAUUAUUUGAGAAUUAUGUCUCAGGUAAUCUAGGGAAGAAGUAUCUAGGUGAUGACCAAGCAUGUGUUGUUAUUGGCAUAAGUGAAGUGCAUAUCAAAUAUUUGAAUGGAUUUGUAUGGAAUUUGGACAAUGUGAGGCACAUUUCAAACCUGAGAGAUAAUUUUAUUUCCAUUGGGUAGUUAACAAAAGAUAGUUAUGUGACAACUUUUUUAGGUGACACAUGGAAUAUCUCAAAGGGAGCUAUUUGCCAUGGCAAGAAGAAUGAUACUCUUUACAUGACAAUGAAUGGUUGUGGGUUUAUUACAAUUGUUGAGAGCAAAGAAGAUUCGAAUUUAUGGCAUUAAAGGCUUGGUCACAUGAGCAAUGAGGGGUUGGAAAUUAUACACUCAAAUGGGAAGUUGUCAAGUUUGAAAUAAGUUGACAUUGACAUGUGUGAAAAUUGCAUACUUGGGAAACAAAGAAGGGUUAGCUUUAAGAAAGUUGGAAAAACUCCAAAAGAAGUAAAACUGAAGUUAGUUUAUACAAAUGUUUGGGGACUUGCUUCAAUUUCAUCUAUCGGUAGAAGAUUUUUUUUUGUGACCUUCAUUGAUGAUCAUUUGAGGAAAGUGUGGGUAUACUUUAUGAUACACAAAUGAGAAGUGUUUGAUGUAUUCAAGAGACGGAAAACAAUGGUGGAGAAUAAGACAUGUAUGAGAGUCAAGAAGUUACGGUUUGAUAAUGGUAGGGAGGAUGAAGAAUUUGAGUUCAAGAAGAUCUAUUAUGAAAAUGGAAUUAAAUUAGAGAAGACCGUGCCAAGGACACCUUACCAGAAUGGUAUAGCAUAAUGAAUGAACAAGACAUUGACUGAAAGAGAAAAAAAACGUGUAUACAAGCAAGGUUGUCAAAGGAGUUCUUGGCAAAAGCAAUCAACAAAACAACUUACUUGAUCACAAAAUACUGGAAAAAGUGUGAACUAAAAAAAAGGUAAAGUUUUCUCAUUUGAGGGUAUUUGGUUGUGUAUCAUAUAUAUAUAUAUAUAUGUGUGUGUGUGUGUGUGUGUGUGUGUGUGUGUGUGUGUGUGUGUGUGUAUACAUAUUAGUGAUCAUGACAUAAACAUACUUGAUGCUAAAUCACUAAAAUGUACUUUCUUAGCUAUGGUGUUGAUAAUUUUGGUUAUUAGUUUUGGGAUGACCAGAGUAAGAAAGUGAUUAGAAGUAAGGAUGUCGAUUAGAAGUAAGGAUGUCAUAUUUAAUGAGAAAGUUUUGUAUAUGUAGAGAGAUGCAACACAUUCCAAUAGUCUGGUACAACUUGAACCUAUUUACUUUGAGCCAAAUGAUGUCCCAUUGAAUAACAUGACAAAUAAGACAGGUCAUAAUCAUUAGAUUGAGGAAAAUACUGCAUAAGAUGUUAAUAUAUCACAAGAUCUAGUUUCAAUUCCUACUUUGAGGAGAUCUAACAAGCCACAUGUACCAAAUAGGAAGUAUUUAAAUUAUUUGCUACUAAUAGAUGGAGGUGAACCUAAAUGUUAUGAUGAGGCAUGUCAGAUGGAAGAUAAUAGAAAGUGGGAGCUUACGAUGAAAAAUGAAAUGAAGUCCCUUAUUCUUAACCAGACUUGGAAGCUAGUCGAGUUACCAAUGGGUAAGAAAGUUUUUCAUAAUAAGUGGGUGUAUUAAAUUAAGUAGGAGCAUGGUGGUUCUAAGAGAUAUAAGGCUAGAUUGGUGGUCAAAGGGUUUCAAUAGAAGAAAAAUGAUUGACUAUACAUACAUUUUCUCUCUAGUUGUGAAACUAACUAUUAUUCAAUAUGUUUUGAGUAUUGUAGCAAUAAAGAGUUUACAUAUAGAACGGUUAGAUGUGAAGAUAGCUUUCCUCUAUGGUGAUUUUGAUGGGGAAAUUAGUAUAUAUGCAACAACUAGAGGGUUUUGUAGUGAAGGGUAAAGAGAAUCUGGUGUGCAAAUUAACUAACAGUCUGUAUGAUUUAAAACAAGCCCCAAGACAAUGGUAUAGAAUAUUUGGUAGUUUCAUGCAAAAGAAUAGGCAUCUCAAGUGCAAUGCAGACCAUUGUUGUUACUUUAAGAGAGUUGGUUCUAUCUAUAUUAUUUUGUUACUUUAUGUUGAUGGCAUGUUAGUAGUUGACGCAAAUCUAGAUGAAAUUAACAAGUUGAAGAAAUAGUUGUCUAGUGAAUUUGAAAUGAAGGACUUGGGAGCAACAAAGUAGGUACUUGGGAUGAAGAUUAGCAAAGACAAAUAAACGAGCAUCUUAUGGUUAUCUUAGGCUAAGUAUAUAUACUCAUAAAGUAUUGCAAAUAUUCGACAUGAGUAAUGUAAGGCAAUUAGAACAUCAUUAGCAAAUCAUUUCAGGUUGUCUAAUUAAGCAUUGCCCAUGGGCAGAUGAGGAAAAAGACUUCAUGGCUAAGGUUUCAUAUGCCUUAGCCAUUGGAAGUUUGAUGUAUGUUAUGAUAUGCACGACACUAGACAUUGCCUAUGCAGUGGAAGUUGUGAGCAAAUUUAUGUCAAAUCUAAGUAAGUAGCAUUAUGAAGUAGUGAAAUGGAUGCUUAGGUACUUACAGGGUACUACAAAAAAAUGUCUAUGUUUCGAAAGGGGUGAGUUAAAAUUGCAAGGAUAUGUGGAUGUUGAUUUUGCCAAUGAGAUAGAUAAUUGGAAAAGUACUACAUGGUAUGUGCUCACUUUGGGUACUAUUGCUAUUAGUUUGAUUUCUCAAUUGUAGAAGAUUGUUAUUUUAUCUACAAUUGAAGUAAAAUAUGUGGCUAUCACAGAAGCUAGAAAAGAAAUGAUUUGGCUAUAGAGUUUGUUAGCAAAGUUAGGAUUCAAAUAAGAUAUGAAUGUUUUGCAUAGUAAUGGCCAAAGUGCAAUACAUUUGGCUAAGUAUUCAACAUUUCAUUCAAGAACUAAUUAUAUUACACUUCAUUAUCACUCCAUCAGGUUUUUGCUUGAAGAUAGGGUGUUAACAUUUGUGAAGAUACAAGGUAGCAAGAAUCCGGUUAACAUGUUAACUAAAAUAGUGAUAAUAGAAAAAUUGGAGUUGUGUGCAACUUCAAUUGGUCAAUAAUGAGAAUAGGUUGUUUGAGUGCACCCUCAUACCCAUUAAUCAUUGAAAGAGAAUGUUUACUUGUGUUUUAGUCUUCAAGUGGAAGAUUGUUGGAUUGUGAAGCUUGAAUCAGUUUUAUUAUGCCCCGAUCAACUUGUAGGGAUUGAAGGGCGCAAUGCUCUAUGGAGAAUUUAUUUAUUUAUUUUUAUGUAAUGAUUGACAGGUUUAAUCUUAUUAUAUAUUUUAACCCUUUUAUGUUUUAAGGUUUUGUUUUUUAAUGUGUAGUUGCAAUUGAGAGGUUUUUUGAGAGCUUUGCUAUUCCACUCCUUCUCAUCCCUUUUAUAGUGAAUUGUUGUAUGUUGGUGUACUCCAUUGAUGUAGGGAUCAAAUUGAUCGUAAAACCAUUUUUUUUUUUUUUUUGUUUCUAUUUAUACAUGAGUGUGUGCGUGAUUUGGUUAACAUCAGUUAUCUUAAUAAUUCUAUUCCUGGAAUAGGAAGAAAAUGAUGAUUCCAUUAAUGUAGCAUGCAUUGCUGCUUAUUUAUCAAGCAAAUUACAUUAUUAUUACACCAAACCUCCAAAUUCACCACGUACGUAUCGUAUAUACCGCAUGAUAAGAUUUAGAGAGGUAAAACAAGCGCUUAUUGUUUACGGAUAGAUAAUGUCCCACCGACCUUUUACUCUGAUACCUUGAAAUGAGAAAUUUGGAGGUUUUCCACACCAAGCUUCUUGAGAUUACCGCGCUUUCUCGUAGCGAAGAACUUUCCCCAGUUGUAUGCUCUAUACUUUGGUUUUUCCCCCUUCGUCAGCUCCUCCAAGGGCUGCACCCAAAGAUGGUGCGCGGGAUUGAAAAAGAACGGAAUCGAGAACCUUUCCCUCUCUGAAUUCAGUAUCACUCUGUGCUCCACACUCUCAUAAGUUUCGUUGCUCCAAACCUGGUUUAAUAUCAGUAUAAUUAGCCAAAUAGGUGCAAAAUUCGGUGAGCGAAAUAACUGAUAAGCAGGUGCUUAUAAUUCAAAGUUCUUGGGUGGUACCUGAAUUAUAUCCCCAACAUUGAUGAUUUAAGCAUCUGGGGUGGGCUUCACUCGAACCCAUUCUCCGUCGGUUUUUCGCUUUACUUCCAACCCUCCGACAUCAUCCUGGGCAAGGAUGGUUAAGGCUCCGGCAUCCUUGUGGUGACCAACGCCCAGAGCUAGGUGAGGGACAGGGCAAGGUGGGUAGUGAUUGAAGCGGACGAAGCUCGUUGAUUCUUCAAAGAAAAGAUUGAAUCUGUUUUCUGGCAAACCUAAGCUCAGAGAGAUGAGUCCCAUCAGCUUGAAAGCUAGUUUUUCCGUUUCUCUCGCAUAUUCUUCACAGACCUCCCUGUAUAAAUCAGUUCAAUUAGAACAAAACAAACUAAGUAAUUUACUGUAGUGACUGUGCCUUAGCUGGUGAAAUUUGUACCUUAAUUCAGGAGGGUACUGAGGCCACCGAUUGGUCAGCUCUAUGAGCUCCUUGUCCUCAGGAUCAUCCGAAGCAGGGCCGAAGGCGGGGGUUCUCACCACGAAAUCAAAGACUUCUUUCCAGUCCCUAACGUUCUUGGUAUGCUCAGUAUCAAAGUACCCAAAAGGAUUCACCUCAUCUCUACUCACCUUCCUCUUCUCCUCCACUGGCAGAGCGAAGAACGUCCUCGCGGCAUCCCAAAUUUUCCGGCGAGACUCCAAGGGCACCCCAUGGUUGAUGACUUGAAAAAAGCCCCAGUUCUUGCAUGCAUCAGCUAUUUGAGAAACAUGAUUGGAAGCAUUGGCGGAAGAGAGAUCAAUGAGGGGGAUGCCUUCAGCUUCGAUAACAGCGAGCUUAGGCCUAUGUUGGGCGUCUUGGAUGAAGGCUGGAUUGACCUCUCCCAUGGCUGUGGUAGUGAUUAGAACUUAGAAAUGGCAAUUAUGCUCUGGUAGCUGCAGGUGAAGAUGGUUACAGGACUUGGGCAACUCGGCAGGUGGUUUUUAUAGCAUAAUAGGGGUGUUGGUUUAAUACCUUGAACCUGGACAUAAUAUGGGUUACGUGUUAAGUUUUAGUUCGGGGUGUGAGCUCAUGGGUUGCGCAUAUGUUAAUGAGAUUUGGUCAAGUGAUACCUAGCUAUUUCCACGGCACCCUCAAUAUUCAAAUAUUUCAUCCGUACUCGAUUUGGAAGGUUGAUUAGUAAAUCUGAUGGUGUAAUGUCUAUUUUUGAAUUCAAUGCUAUAUAUUUAACGGUGAAGAUAAGAAAAAUAGAAGAGUUGAUAACGUUGAAGAAAAAAUGCCAAAGUUUUAAGAAGGUAGAGUUUUGAUGAGAAAUAGGUAAAAUUAAAAUUGCAUUAUAAUAAUAUAAAUUAAUUAAAUCGGUAAUCACCCAUUUAAUCUCAUUCUUAUCCACAAUUGUUGAUAGUUGAUCCUACAAAAUUCUAAAAAAAUCUUCCACAAAGACAAAUCACAAGAUGUUCAAUAACAUAUAUGCUUUUGCACCAAAAAUUGUAUAAGGGAAAAAAAAAUGAUGCACAAAAAAAAAAAAAAAAAAAUUCUAUAUCUAAUAUUAUUUCAUAGGAAAACUAACUAUAAUAAAUUUUAAAAGCAAAGAGCGUUUUACCAUAUCUAAAUAAUAGAUUAUUAAAUUCUUUAUUUUUCAAUUGGAUAUUUUUUUUUAAAUUAGAAACAUCUAUAUAAAAAUAAAAAUCACUUUAAAAAAAUUUUAAAUUUAAGAUAAUAAAUUUUUUAUAAUAUUUUAAUUCUUUUAAAUAAUUUUUAAAAUUAUUAUUUUUUCAAUAUAAAAUUUUAAGAGUUUUUGUAUUUUAUAUAUAAGUUACUAAUAUUCUCUUAUUUUAAACAUAGAAAAUAAAAAAUGUAACCAAAUGAAUUAGAAAAUAAAAAAGUUGAAUAAAAAUAGUCUAACCAUCUUAAACCUAAUAAUGUUUGACAGAAAACACUUAAAUAUACCUUGUAAUUUUCCUCACUGGUCAGCUCCUCCGAAGGCUUCACAUUCACAUGGUGCGCCAGUAAGAAGAAGAAUGGAAUCGAAACCCUUUCCUUCUUGUGUCGACCCACACUGAGAGCGAGCUCCAGCCACGAGCACGAUGGAUGGUGAUUGAGUCGGAUGAAGCAUUAGCCUUCAAAGAAUUCAUUCAACCGAUCCCCCACCAAGCCUAAGCUUAAGGAGAUGAGUUCCAAGAACUUGUAAGCUAAUUUUUCUAUUUCUCUAAUAUAGUUUUUCCAAAUUUUCCUGAAAAUAAAUCAUUAUAUAAAAUAUAUCAAUACUCAAAAUAAAUUUAAUAAAAUCUUGUCUUGCCUUUAUGUCUCUAGUUGAGUCUGUUUGGCUUCAAGCUGUGCAUUUAUGUCUCCGGUUGAGUUUGUUAGGCUUUGAGUCGCACCUUUACACCUCUAGUUGAAUAUGUUCGACUUUGAGCCAUGCCUUUACGUUUUGAGUUGAGUCUAUUCGGCUUUGAGCCACGCCUUUACAUUUUAGUUGAAUCUGUUCGAUUUCAAGCCGUGCAUUUACAUCUAUAAUUGAGUCUAUUCAGCUUCAAAUUGCAUCUUCACAUUUUUUGUUGAAUCUGUUCAGCUUCAAGCCACUCCUUUAUGUCUCUAAUUAAAUUUGUUUGGCUUUAAGUUUCACCUUUAUGCCUUUAAUUGAGUUUGUUCGGCUUUUAGUUGCGCUUUUACGUUUUGAGUUGAGACUAUUUGGCAUCGAGUUGCAACUUUAUGUUUCAAGUUGAAUUUGUUUAGCUUCAAAUCGUGCCUUUACAUCUCUAGUUGAGUUUGUUCGACUUCAAGUCAUGCCUUUAAGUCUCUAGUUGAGUUUUUUUAGCUUUGAGCUGCGCCUCUACAUCUCUAGUUGAAUUUGUUUGGCUUCGUAUCACAUCUUAUGUUUCGAAUUGAGUUUAUUCGACUUCGAGUUGUGCCUUUAUGUUUCUAGUUGAGUCUAUUCAGCUUCAAGCUGCACCUUUACUUUUUGAAUUGAGUUUGUUCGGCUAUGAGCAAUGCUUUUACAUUUCAAGUUAAGUCUGUUUGGCUUUGAGUUAAGCCUUUACGUCUCUAGUUAAGUCUAUUCAACUUCGAGCCGCAUCUUUCAUUUUUGAGUUGAGUGUGUUUGGCUUUGAACCACACCUCUAUGUUUCAAAUUAAGUCUAUUCAUCUUCAAGUCGCACUUUUAUGUCUUUAGUUAAGUUUGUUCAGCUUCGAGCAAUGCCUUUAGGUUUGAAGUUGAGCCUAUUUGACUUCAAGCCACACCUUUACAUCUCUAGUAGAGUUUGUUUGGCUUCAAGCUAUGCCUUUUUGUUUCGAGUUUAGUCUGUUCAGUUUUGAGCCAUGCCCUUACGUUUCAAGUUAAGCCUAUCCGGCUUCAAGUCGCGUCUUUACAUUUUGAGUUAAGACUAUUCGACUUCAAGCUAUGUCUUUACAUCUUUAGUUGAGUUUGUUCAACUUCAAGCUACGCCUUUACGUUUUGAGUUAAGUCUAUUCGGUUUCAAGUUGUGUCUUUAUGUUUUGAGUUGAGUCUGUUUGGCUUUAAGUCACACUUUUACGUUUUGAGUUGAGUCUCUUCAACUUUGAACUACACCUUUAUAUAUCCAGUUGAGUCUGUUCGAAUUUGAGUCACACCUUUGAGUUUUGAGUUUAGUCUGUUCGGCUUUGAGCCACACUUUUACAUCUCUUGUUGAGUCAUAUUUAGCUUCAUUCUACGCCUUUACAUUUCCAAUUGAGUUUAUUUAGCUUUGAGUUGUGCCUAUGUUUUAAAGUUUGUUCAAUUUCGAGCCACAUCUUUAGCCUUAUUAAGUUUGUUCAAGUUUAGUUGUGCCCUCACCCAUAUCCUUAGUUUUAAGUUUAUUCAGCUUCAAGCCAUGCGUUUGUCCUUGUUAAGUAAGUUCGGCUUCGAGCCACGUCUUAGUUUUGAAGUUGUUUAUCCUUGAGCCACACCUUCCUUUCUUUUUUAGUUCACUUAGGGUUUUCUCCUUCCUCGAGUUUAUUAGUGCAUUCGAGUUCAUUUUUCUUUAAGUUGAUCACUCUUUAUCUUUGUUGUCCUUGAAUUGUUCAUUGUGUCACAAUUCAGUGUUUUUCAUUGCAUAUAUACUCCCCACAUUGUCUAUAUUUUAUCCUGAUGAGUUUCUUUCCCAAUACGUGACCUCGAUCUUUGAGUUUAGCAUGCCAUGUGCUAAGACAAUUUCGAGUGCUCUUUUGUUCUUCAAUGCAAUUCACUUCAUACCAUUCAUCACUCAUGUUUCACUGUUUGUGUUCAUUUCAUUCGUGAUCUACAUCGGAGAGAGACAUAUUUGUUGGCCCUUUACUUUGUCCUAUAAUACAUAUUUUCACAUUUUUUUAUUUUCCUCUUGCCCCAUACUCAUUUUUGGUGCUCGUUUUGGAUCCUUCUUGUUUGAUCAUUCAUGGUCCCUUAUUGGUCCACGUUUACUUGACUCAUUAUUCAUUUUUUAGUCGCAUUUUAGAGGCCAUGUAGGAGGAAUUUUGAGUACAUGCAAGCUUAUUUUUUAGAGACCCUUAGUAGUUGGCUCAUAUGAGGACACGCCUCCUCACACUACUACAAAAAUCAUUUAUGGUGUCACUAUUUAUAGUGACACUUUUAAAAUAAUGACACCAUAUAGCUUAAAAUCCACAAAGGUGACACAUCAUAUAAAAAUUUUCAAUUAGGAUCAAUGAUAUUAAUUUUAGGUUUAUAAUGUCAGUUGCCAAAAAAUGACACCAUAUAAAAUAUUUUUUUUCUAAAUAUUAUAACUCAAUUGGCCCACUUUGAGAAUAAUGAUAGUAUAUAAAAAAAUCAUUGUUUCCACAUACCCACAAUCCAAAAAAAUUUCAUUCCAUAACCCUAACCAAAAUUUUUUUCUACCUCUUCUCACACCCAUAGUUAACACACAACUGUUCUUCUCUGCUUUGUGGACUCUCAGGUAACCCAAAAUCUCUUAGAUCUAUCAUUUUCAUUUAUUUUUUUAUUAAUGUCAAAAUCUUUAUGAACACAAUUGAUUUAUGUUUAUUGAUUUAAUAUAUUUGUAAUAUGGAUUGUGUAAAUAGUGUUUUUUUAUUGAGUUGUAGGAAAGUAAAAACUAGGUUUAACAUUCCACCAUAUCUUCUGGUUCAUUGUUAAACCCAUAAACCCCAAAAUGAAUGAAAAUAAGAAAAAUGAAUUAUUUUUAAAUAUCUUUUAUACUCAAGAUAAUAUAUAAACAUUUUACAAUACAAAAUUUUUUUUUGAUCUUGUAGGAAAUUUCCUUUGAUAGGAUUUUCUGUUUGUUUUCAAGGAAUAUUGUAGUAUAUUGUGAUGAAGAUAUUGAUUGGUGUUAUUUGAAAAAUAAUUUUUUAGAAAAUUAUUCUCAAUAUUAUCAUCUCCCACAAAAUGAAAAAUGAAAUAGUUUUCAUAUCAUAUUGGAGUCGGUUUGGAAUGUUGGAAUUAACAAUGAGAAAUUAAUUUUAUUUUUUAUUUAUUAAUGUAAAUGAAUUGUUUUUUUUUUAAAUUUAAAUAGGAAUGAAAAUUUUUAUAAUUAUAAAAAUGAUCAAAUAUUAUAUUUUGAUUUUUUUUUCUAUUCUUUUACAUGGUAUUAUGGUUAAUAUCUCAUCUUGUUCUAUAUAUAUUUUUUAUAUUCUUAAAAUAUGUUUUUUGCUUUUUGUUUUUACUUUCUUUUCUUAUUGUUUUUAUAUGUGUUGACCAAAAUUUAGAGUAAUUUGAGAUUGGCGAUAAAAUUUUCCUUUCAAGGUUAGAAAAUUUCUAUAAAAUCAUUUUAUUACAUAAUUUUUUCAAUUCCUUCCAUAAAACUCUUCCUUUUUCCUUUUUUAAGAAGAUGUUUGAUAAUUUUCUUUUGAUUUCUAUGAAAUUUCCUUUUAUUGGACUGUUUGUUUAUUUUCUAAGAAUAUUAUAGUAUGUUAUGAUGAGGAUAUUGGUUGGUGAUAUUUGAAAAUUAAUUUUUGAGAAAAUUAUUCUCAAUAUUGUCAUCUGCCACAAAAGGAUUUUAAAAGUAUGUUUUAUUUUUGCCUUCUUUUCUUAUUGUUUUUAUAUGCAUUGACCAAACUUUGGAGUAAUUUGAGAUUGAUGAUGAAAUUUUCCUUUCAAGGCUAGGAAAUUUCUAUAAAAUCCUUUUAUUACAAUUUUUUUUUUUUUCCUAUUCCUUCCAUAAAACUCUUCCUUUUCUUCAUUUUUCUUUUUUGAUGUUUGAUAAUUUAUUGAUCUAAAGAAUAUUAAAAGUAAAAAAUUUAAAAUAUUGAAUAUUUUUUCCUUUGAUGUUGUUAUUUUAUUAUUAUUUUUAUUUGAACAUAUUUUUCAUAUCCAAAUUUUCUAUUAAUUAUUUUACUUUUAAAAAAAAUAUCAAUUGAAGUUAUGACUGAAAAAUCAAUAAUUUUUAUGAAAGGUUCUUUAAUUCUUUCUCAUACUAAUUUUUCUCUUAACAUUUCUUAAUAGUGAAUUAGGUUUUUUUGUUUUAUAUACACAAUUUUCAUGCUUGUUAUAAUAUCAUGUCCUAUCAUAUUAGUAGUUGAAAACAUUUUUAUAUUUUGUUACUAAAAUUUUAUUUUAUAUAAUUUACAUGAAUUUUAAUGGACAUUGUUAUUUCACAAAAUGAACAUUAAAAAAAAUAUUGAAAUUAAGAAAAUCCUUCCAAGAAAUAAAAAAAUAUAAAAAGAAUUGGAUGUUAAAAAUGAUUUUUAAAAGCAUUAUGAAUUAUAAAAAAUAAAUUUAAAAGAUUAGUAUUUUCUAAAAUUUUAGAUUUAUAUUUUGAUUUUGUAGUUUUGAUUUAUUUCAUAUUUUCUUGAAUUGUUUUUAUUUGAGUUCAAAUGUGACUACUUUGUUAUGAGAUUCAUUAAAAGGAUAAUUGUUGAUUCUACAGUUAUUGCAUUAAAGGUUUUACUCAUUUAAUGAAUUGUACAUAGUUUCAUACUUCUAAUUAUUGUGAUAUUAAUGUUAUUUUCAUUUGAUUUUAGUUUGAUGACAAAAAACAUAUUCUCAAGUAGACUUUGAUGAAAUAAGAGGAGAAUGGAUUGCUUUUGUGUUAUAACUAAUCAUGAAUCAUGUUGAUGUAUCGUGAUCAUGCAUGGUGAGUCCCUUAGUUGUUAUAUAAAUUUUCCAUUGGUAUUGUAUAACAUUACUUAUUCUUUAUGAACUAUUUUUAUAUCAAAAUAGGAAAAAGAAAAAAGGAAACAUUAGUACUUAGAUUUGUUUAUUUUUUUAUAACAUCACUAUGGACCCCGCAUUUUCGGCUCGAUGCGUUUCCCACUCGAUGGCGAGCUCGAUUUUUAAUUUUGAAAAAUGAUUUUUAUUCAUUAAAAAUGACUUGGAGUCGCCACUUAUUUUUGUUUUAUUUUUAAAGGGUAAACAAAAUAAGAAAAAAAAACCCUAAGUGUGACUCCUUAUUUUAGAAAAGGCGAUCUACGAAAAAACCGGAUUGGGCUCGGGGGUUAGGUUACUUAUCGGGAAGGUACGGUAAAGACCGUAGCACCCCUCUAAGUCCCUAAAAUCGGGUCUUUACUAAUAGAAUGAAGCUGACGUGGCAGUCAACAAGAAAAUCGAUGAAUAGUCAAAUCAAUCAUGCACAAUAUGAGAAGCAAAACAUGUAUAAAGAAUGAGCGAAAUAUGAAUAGAUGCGUACCUGGACGGCAAUCACGAACGCGCUAUCAUGAAACAUGGUUAGUGAACAAUGAACAGAUAUAAUUAAGCGCAUAUCAAGGAAUAGAGUAAAUCAAUCAUGCAUAGCAAAUAAAUAAAUCAAUUAGUUAAUCGAUUAUAAAUCACAUAUGUGGGGCCCCACCAAAGUCCAUUUAUUUUGCAUGAUUUAAUUCCAAUAACUCCAUUACUUGGAAUUACGGAAAUGAAUUCUUGCUUAUUUUAAAACGUUUUAAAACGAAGGAGAUGUGGAAAUUAUUUGCUAGAAGGAAAGAUGACAACAAAAUUUUAUUGGAAAUGAGAUUUUUGAGUGAUCCUAAAAAUUCUAAAGAUGAAAAUUUGAAAAAUAAAUAAAUAAAUAAGAAUAAAAUAAAAUUAUUUGAAAAUCUAGAAAUUGGAAACUAUUUGAAAACGGGAAAUUUGGAAAUUAAUUUAAAAUUGAAGAUAAAGAAAUAAAUAGAUAAAUAAAAAAAUAAAUAAAGGACACGUGACUCAAAAUGUGGUCAUGCAUAGUUGCUUGUAAAUUGGACAGCCAGUUGCUUCUCAUACUCUCAGCGUCAAGAUGUUCCUUGAUGUAGUUGCCCCAUGUGUCAUCCUUAGCCGUGAUAAUGCAUGUGUUUUCAUCCCAAUUAAAGUCACUUUGAUCAAGAAGUGCCUUGAUAGUGACAUAUUGCAUCCUCAAGACAUCAUACCGAUUCCUCAGUUGGUCCUUAUCCAUGGAUUCCCGCGAAAUAAAUCUGUUACCAGAACAUUGUAACCAUUGCAUGCAACGCGAUAUGCGGAGUCCCUUGUGGAUGAAUUUUCGAAGCCAAAGGCAUCAAACAAGAGCAGUAUCCCUGCCAACUGCGUGUUCAUCCAGCCGCUCAAUCACGCCACUAACAUGGGCACAGCGGAAAGCAUCAACACAACCUUAAUUCCUCUCUUGUAGCUGUUUAGCAGAUCCAAGUCUGUACAAGACUUGAUCUAUGGCAACGUCAUGAGGAUAUAGCCGCGGGGUAGCAUAUGAAUCCAAUCAAUGGGAAAUGGGCAUUAGGAAUGGUGGUCAGGCUUUGCAUGAUUUCAUACACGUGAAUGAGUGAUGCUGGGACCUUCAUGGAGGCUUUGAGUGGAUCUUUGGGCGGCGGUGUAGAAAGAGAAAGGUAGCAGGAAGAAAAGAAUGGGUGUGGGCUUGGUGGUAUGAAACGUGUGGUGUUAAAGAGGAAUGUGGCGUACAUGAGGAAAGACAUGGUGAGUGGAAUGAGCUAUGGGCAUGAGAGAAAUAGAGAAAAUGGGUAUGAAGGUUAAUGAGAGAGAACGGGCGUGUGAGGGUGGUAAAGGAAAAUGGAUGAUGGAUGCACAUAGGUGGAAAUGGGAAUGGAUUUGAUAAAGCAUGAAGGUAGGAAUGGGAUUCGGGUGAUAUUAGAUUACCAUGCAUGGAGAAUGUAUACGUGGAGGUCUAUUAUGCAAAGGAACUAAAAACGGGUCAAGUGAAGGGCUGUUUAGGGAAUAUGGCAUCAGUUUCAGGUUGAGGGGAUGGGGCCCUUGGGCCAUUUGGCUACCCACAAGUAUGAUCUACAAAAUAGGGUCCUUAUGUCAGGGUCAACUUUCGGAUUUUUGCAAAGCUGAUGCUACCAAUUUAAACUCUGAUCAAUCAGUGUCCGCGAUCUUGAGUCCUUCAAGCUGAUGCAACGCGUCUUUAGGAAGGUAGAGCCUCCAAUGAAUACUUUAGAUUUCGAUUUUUGAACAAUCAUGGCAGAACCCUUCAUCGAUUGGCAUUAUCAUUACCCUGGGAUUGCAGCAAGAUGCAUGGAAGGCUUCUUCACUAUUAUCACAAAUGAGCAUAUACAAUAUAUUUUCUGAAUGACCACACGAUUUACAUGGUUGGGAUGAGUUGCUAUUCCCACUAACUCCCAGAACUUCAAGAAGCUCCUGACUCCUCAGUAUAGAAAUGCGUGUAAUCAUUACCCUCUUGUUUGGCAUGACCUGUGCAUACCCAAGAAUGACACCUACUAACCAACCAAUUGAUCCUUAUUGCAUUUAGAACUCAUCUGCAUCCCCUAGUCAAUUUCAGUUUCUGACAGUUAAACCAAAAAUCCCCAGUCUCAGCAAUGACAGUAGUCUCACUUGACAACAUUUUCUGUAUAUGCUGGAACAGAACAUAAACCCUCAAAGGCUCCUCGGGAUCAGACGUAGGAGACUGUCCCUCAGGAACGUAAACUCUAUGGUAGAACUCAUAGGCAGUGAUAUUGCAUUCGAGCCUCUUGGAGAAUGACUUGAAGAAAUCUUUCAUCAAAAUGCACCCAAGCUCAAGCCCAUAAGCACACCAAACACCAUUAUUGGGUUCGUUACAUCACCAUGCUACGGAGUUUAUACAACAGGAAGCUCUAACUGAUGAUGGUUCUGGUAGUGAUUUGCCAAUGGGAACUUGGCCAUCAAGUGAACCCGAUAUCAGAAGCUGAAGUUAUUACCUUGUACUCUUCUAUUCCCCCAUUAUCAGCAAUUCCAAUGGAAACAGUAGGAGAGCCUCAAGACUGUGUAUCCAUUCAAUAACUCUGUUUCUCAGUCAGGAUGCAAAAAACUCCCCAAUGAUUCUACAGCUGCAACCACAGGAGCCCCACUACUACCAGUUCCUUCACCCAUUCUGACAGCAACCAAAACCAGACCAAUGACUUGAACUUUAGACUUCCCCAAUCCAUUAAAUCCAGAAACCACUUGGAGUUAGAAACAUUUUCUACCUCAUCCUAGAACUUUCAGGUAUUUUACAAAGUAAUGGUCGGUAUUUUUCAAAAGCAAAAAGAAAAAAAGGUAAGACUCAAGAAACAGAGCAAACUCAGAAUUCGUUAAUCAAGACUCCAUCUCAUGCUGCACUCAAUGGAUCUAAACAGGUGAGACAAGCAGGGAGCAGUGGCAUGAUUAAUCAAUCUCAAAAAUAAUCCAUAUAUCGGUUAUUGACAGGAAAAAACAAAGAAAGCAGAAAAGAACCCAAACAGAGCAAAUACAAAAACAAACUCAAAUUCAGCAAAUCAAUCCACAAUCAAGAAAAACUAACAAUGCUCAAGUAGCCUGAGAAAAAUGAUGAAGAACAGUGAUAAUGAAAAAUACCCUAAAAAAAAGAACACGAUACUUCAUACCUGUGAAACUCCUCUCCGAUGAAGCUCACCUACCAAACCAAUCUGCUCCCAUCCUUGGCACUAGAACCCCUCUCCGUAGCAGCCUAAGCUCAAGGAAAUCCCUCUCCAGACCGAUCUCUUCUUUCUUCUCAAGUUCUUUUCUCCUCCUCUCAAAAUAUCUCUCCCUGAAAAACGGCAGCCAAAACCUCCCUCUGCAGCUGGCCUGCCCCCGUAACAGAAUACCCCCCUCUAGCUUUCUCACUACCCUCAAAAGCACCCUCUCUCUCCUGCAGCUGCAAGCCUCCACUACCCCCAUGCAGCUGGCAGCCUCUACUCCUCUAACGGCCAGCAGAUUCUCCUUCUAGAAAAUUCUUUCCCUUUUCCAGGUGUCUUUCCCUGAUUGGCCCAUCAAUUCCACUAUAGUGAUUCUACAGUGACCAAUCCUAAGAAGGCACGUGGCCUUAUGAGAUUGCGACACUUGGCAAACACAGGCUGCCAAAAAGUGAGCCCCCAAAUGGGGGUCUACAAUCACAUUUUUAUUUUCAAUAAGAACUCUAAAACUCAUUAAACUAUAAAAUGCAGAUAUACACUCUUGAGAGGACAAUAUGAAGAAUAAAAAGAAAUAAGAAAGAAGCAACAAGAUUUGGAUUUUUAGAUGUGACUCUUAUGUCAUACAUUAUACGACAUAAAUGUUAUUUUAUUUGGAAUUGAGAAUUGUGGGUUUUUUUAUGCAACUCUUGUGUCAUUUGGUUAGCCGGUUUUAUGCAUAUGAAACGUAAGUAUACAUGAAUGUUGGGAUGCUUAACAUUUCUAAAUCAUGUUUUAAUGUGUAUUCACUUUUCUUUUUUAGUUUUGGUGGGUUUGAUAUACUAUGUUUUGUGAACAUUUGAUAUACAAAUAUUAGUGGAUGAUGUAAUGUAUUAUAGGUUAAUCCAUAAGCAUAAAGAAAAUAUAAGUUAAAUGUAAUAUGAUUAUUAUAUUUAUGGACAAAAUUUACACACGUUGAUCUUAUUUAUUAAUAAGCAUUACAAAAAUCUAUAGGCUAGUCAACAAAAAACAACCAUAUCUUCUAUAAUCAUUUACAAUGAAGUGACACCAUAAUUCAAAGGUGAUGCAUUUAACGUGACAUCAUAACUCAAAGGUGAUGCAUUUAAUAUGACACCUUAUAUAUCUCACAUAACUCUAUAUCAAAUUAAGCAUCACUAAAAAUAUAUGGUGUCGCUUCUAAAUGCGUCACAAUUUAUCUGUUUUGGUGUCGCUUCCAAAUACGUCACCAAUUGGUACCCUCUAUGGUAUUGGUGGAUAAGGUGACGCUAUGUUGUAGCGACACCCUAUGUUUAGGGUGACUCGUUAUAAAUGUCACCAUAUAUGUUUUUCCUUGUAGUGUCAUUGGGAAGGUUUUUUCCAUUUUUUAGAGGGGUUUUCUAAAGGCUUCUAGGGUGAGGACACUGUUCUCAUAUUGGCUUUUUUUCCCCCUUUUUAGAGGGGUCUUCUAAAGGCUUCUAAGGUCAACUAGGAGAGCAUGUUGAUUGAUGCUUUGAUAUGGAUACCAGAUGCCACAUUUCAUCUUGUUGAACACUGGUUAGCUAUGGACUUGUUACUGCUUUACUCUUCUGUUUCGAGUUAACUUUGGAAAUGAAUCUGAAUAUAGACUAGUAUUUGCAUCUUGAUGUUUAGAGAAUCAUAUUUUAGUUGUUGUUUAAAAUUCAUUUUGGCAUGUUCGAUUGCUUCAAGCUCAUUUAUACAAUAAUGAAAUGGAGAUUUAUAUAUUUGUUAUUGGGUUGGCUCUCUGUUUGGUUAUCUUUAAGUUCUGCAUCUUUUCUUUUCUCGUUGCCUUAUCUUCUCUGGGGGGUGUCGUUUGAGAAAUACAUAGUGGAAAAAAUGGGAAGCUGAAGGCUUAUCCUGGCAUCGACCUCGCGUUAGGGAACGACUUGAUCGAAGAACAUAUGAAUUUUUCAAAUACCCAGAACUCACAUCAAAAGAAGCAUCGGAGUCAAGGUCAAACACAUCAUCUGACAAGGAAUAUACCUUUGCCUUUGGUGACUUUAUUGACUUCUGCAUGAUGGACAUCCGAGGGUGGGGACUGGAAGAGAAAUGAUGAAUUUGCCCAAGAUAGUUUGUCUAGAAAGGAACUUGUAUUAAAUGAUGAUUACCCACUAUGUCAGAUGUUGAAAUUUGGGUAUGACAACUCCUGGUGGCAUCAGAAAGAUGAGUUGCACAAUCCUUCUCACAGUUGAAAGCUUGACCUCCGAAGUUGGGCUUUUUCAUGGCCAGACAAGAACAGUGAUCACAAUAGUAUGAGCCAAGCCUGUCACGACCCAAAUUCUAGGUGAACUUAACCAUGACUCCAAAUCAAAGGUUUAAACUUAAAGGUUACAUCUAUUCAAUCUAGUAGUCAAUCCUGAUAACUUGAUUUUUUUUUCUUGAUAAAACAAUAUCUAAUCCCAAAUCAAUUUAUUAAGCUAAUAACUUGAUUUUUUUUCUCAAUAAAACAACAUCUAGUCCCAAAUUAAUUUAUUAAGCUAAGAUUUACUAUAUCAUAUUAUUUGAUUUUAUUUUUCAAAAAUCAACCAUUACACUAUCACUUAUUUGCAAGUAUAAUAAAUCUGUCAAACAUCUUAUCACCCAAAAUGAUAACCCAAAUAUUUACAAAAAAAAGUUUUACAAAUUAAUAAAAUAUAGUCUAAGUUAUAAAAGUUCUUAUAAAUUAAAUUAGUAUGUGCUAAAAUAUAAGAUAACUGAAAAAAAAAAAAAAAAAAAAAAAACCAUUAUUAUUAUGGUUCCUUAAAAACUAUAUUUGCAUCUAAAAAUUUUAGAAAAUAAAGGGAUGGACAUUUCCACAUUACUUAGUAAGGUAUUUUACACCCACACAAAUUAGAAAUUCUAAGUCAAUAAAACACAAUCAUAUAUCAAAGUGUAAUUUUACAUCUAAUGUACUACAACUAUAUACAUUUAAACUAAUCAAAAUUAUCACUAACCAUAAUCAGACUCCAAAUAAUACAAAUAACAUUUAUUAUCUCCCAAAAACAUAAUGUGUAAUUUUGUUUCCAAAGAAAAAUAUAAAAUAAAAGUUUUAGGGUUAAACCACCCUACAUCAAAUUUGAAAAUCUAAUUGUUAAAACUAAAAUCAGACUCCGUAAAAAUGUUCUUUAUGUUAAAUAGAGUGUUUUGCUAAAAUCUCAUGCAAAACAGAAUUCAUUUGGCUUGUCGGAUGACAACCCAAAUAUUUGUUGCACCUUCCUUGUUUCUUCUCUUCCUUUGUGUUUCCGUUUGCACUCUUCUCUCUACGGAUCUGGUAAAUAGGGUAGCCCCUGGUACGCUUGGGGCUGGAUUGAAUCCUAUUCGAACUAUAUCUAACUUGAUCUUGUCCAAGCUAGGAAGGUUUUUGGUCUCGAUGACAUUGGAAGUUUCAUCAUUGCUAAAGAAAGGGGCGGCCAAAAAGGCUUAGCGACGACCCUCUCUCGACUUAAAGGAAACGACUUGUCCCAUCCAAUGCCCUACUUUUAAGUGCUCGGUAUGUUCACUUAAUCAAAUCUAGAAGAAGCUUGGCCUCUGUAGAGCAUGAAAAGGCUAGUUUUGAAGCUUUUAAUCGAGGACUUAUUUGCCCUAAAGCCUGACUUCUUAGGAAGAGAAAUGGGCUUGACUUCUUCAUCAACCUCGGAAUCGCAUUCUAUCACACUGGUGGUACUUCUUGUUGAAUUAAAAGAUUGGAUGAGUCUUUUUGUACCCACCCGCCACCCCUGUUUGAGAGUGAUUAAAUAUCAUAACUUCCUUAAUGGACCUACGGACUAGCUAAGGUUUACUUACAUAGUUGUUCUUUCUUUUCUCAAUUUCAAGUUAAAGUUAGCGUUUUUCAGCUUACUGUUUGCUUUGGUUGAGUAGCCGCCUUAUGACCCUUUGCUUUUGAAUGAAAUCAUCUAGAACCUCUCAGAUCGGAUUCCAAUCACCUUAGUGAGUCUCCUAGGUGCGAAGCCAUUCUUUAAGCCCAAAACAAAAGGAGAAGUGAAGUCACUAUCUAGACAAAGGGGCUUGCCUACUUAUAAGGUAGGAGUUCACACCGGGGAAUCGCUUUCUUAAUUAAUUAAAAGCGAGCCAAACUCACCACCUCAUGUACCAAAGUCAAACGGUUGUUCUUCCUUCCCCGCUCCCUUUUUCUCUACAUAUGUGAUGGCGGGCAGAGCGCUCUAUAUGACCGGUGGUGGGUUACCAGAGAAGAUGGGACAACUUCUUUCUCUCUUGCCUUGCUCAAUCUUCCUUUUCUGAUUGAAAGUAGCAAGCCACACCACUACUGGUACAGAGGUCGGAUAGAAGGUUGCUUUUUCUAUAUGUUCAGGCGAAGAACAUCUACGGCACAGUCUUCGCCAAGCAAGAUGAUGUAACUCCUCAAAACAUAAAAAGAGCUCUUAUAUAUGUAAAAACAUGAUAUAUGUGUAAAUGAAUUAUAGCCAUUUUCAAAUAGAUCAGGAUCGUCAGAUGUUUGAAAUGGAAAGUCAAUUUUUCUAUAUGCAUGUAGAUAUCUAUAGGGGAUUAUAUGAAGGGGAUGUUAUUAUUUUAGAUAUAAUCAAUUCCCUUCUCGGAGCCCACUAAGAUCCGGAUCUCCUACGGAAAUGAUUUAGAAGAUCCAAAACCAAAAAUAGUGGUAUUUGCUAGCAACAACAUAAUGGAGGCAGUCAAUCAAUAUAUAUUGAUCUAAAAUCUGAUUCAAAUCCAAUAUAGCACCUAUGGGUACAUAAAAGAAAGGCAAGAGAGAAAAGAAGUCCAUACUUUUCAACAAAGCUUUAAGUGAGUAGGGGUGUAGCAGAUUCAUGCACGUCGAAUAUAAAUGCAGUUGGAUGAGUAGUCGCGGAUUCACAAUGCCGGUUAAAAAGCCAAUCUUAGGGUUGCAUUCACUCCCCUUCUAUAUCUUGCAUCUAUAGUAUUUUUGUCCUGGUGGAUCUCUUUAUCAUUUAAUAAAAGUUUGGAAUCUUGGGUUACUAAUUGGUGGAAUACUAGGCAAUCUAAAACUUUUUUGAAUGAUAUUCAAGAAAACAAUCAAUUUCCCAUCAUUUGCACUAUGAAUGGAAAUGAAAUUCUAGAUCUAGAAUCAGAUGAAUGUGCAACAGUCAAUUUCCUCCCUCACAACCUAAUUGUCCACUAAAAACAACCUUUUUUACUAUACGCUAUUUGGCCGCUAGAAGAACUUCAGUUCUUAUAGGUAAAUGCUCAAUACCCAAGUAGGCCUACAAAGUUGAUCAUGAUCAAGUGCUUUUUGGGUCGUCUUAGACCUUGCAAUAUCUCUCCGGCCCUCUAGCACUCUGUUAUGGCUCAAUCACUUACUCUAGUUCUGGAGUUCUAGGUCCUCUAGCUAUUAGUGCAGGUAGCUCUCCUUCUGGUAAUGCAUUAUAGGUUGUCUUCCUUCCACCUUCCUGUUUUCAAGAAAGCUUAUUUUCUUUCUAAGAAAAAUCAUACAAUCUCGUAUGAGAACGGGAUUGAUGGGAGGCAUAUGCUCCCAGGCUACACAAUGUCUUACAGGGCUUACCCAGUUAGAAGGUAUGUAACUAAAGUCUCAAGAGAAUUGAAAUCGACGAGAAAUCAGAAUCAAUGUUAGAGAUUAGACUUGGCAUGGAAAAAGGAGUAUAGUAAGAUGAUAGAGACCUCGCACGAGAUGCUUACUCGGAUUCAUGCCCAUAAAGAGUAGAAGAUUCAACACAAGUGCAAGAAUAGGUUUCACAGUUAAGAAAGGUUGAGAUUCAGGUGAGUGAGUGAGUCCUCACUGACUUGAGCGAUUUCGAUCACCUAGCAGUUUAUUUGGUAGGUAACAUCGCUAAAGCAUAUCAUCUGAUCUACAAAUGAAGGAAAUCAAAGUGAGACGACACCGUCCUCUGUAACGCAACGAUAGUUGGCCCUUUAUCAUCAACUAUUUGGUAGACUUGGUAAAAGAUGUAAGGCUUUAGCUAGUACACGAAAGUGCAUACCAUGAUUCUUCUGUCUAUCAAUAACUGCAUGCAUUGCACGAUGGAUGUGAAGAAGUAGGCCAUUAUCUCGACAAUAAUGAGCCAAGCUAGUAUUUGCAGUGAAUCCCCCUGUUAAGUAGUCACAUUAAUGGAACAAGAACACAUUAGCGUAUGAAACAGAGCUGAAAGCGCGAGUGCACAAUCUCAAAAACGGCAAAUUCACGUUCUACUUCCUCAAUCUCGAACUCUGUCUAUUGGGAUGAGCUCCCCUUACCUGCGCUAUUCUAUGAACGAACUUCCUUUAUAAACCAUAAAACUGGAACAAUCACUGUUCCAGGGUCUGUCUCAGAGUUCUAUCUCGUGCUUGACAUCAAUUGCAUCCAAACCUUUAAUCGGGUAUACUUUCCACAAUAACAAGCGAGUCAUAGUUAGGUAAAAGUUAUACAGAAAGAUGACAUCGUUGGCGAACUUGAAGCUAGUUAGGUAAAUCCCCUUAUAUUCUUCUUUCUUCUCCCAUAAGACAUUCCUUAUUAUUAUUAUUAUUAUUAUUUUCAUUUUCUCAAUUUCUUUAUCUUUUCAACUUUAAGACACCAUUUUGCACUUCUUCUUUUUUAUUAUAAUUAUUAUUCUUUAUCAACCAUACCAUGUUAAGAAAUUUAUUUAUUUUAAUCCAAAAAUCUACUUAAAUACAAUUUCAUACUUUUCUUAAUAAAUUAUAUAUAUAUAUAUAUAUAUAUAUAUAUAUAUAUAUAUAUAUAUAUAUAUAUAUAUAUAUAUAUAUUAUUUCUUAUUAUAACAAAUUUAAAAUGUCACAUGUAUCAUUUUUUUAAUAAAUCAAAUUAUUAUUCUUUAUUUCAUAUUCUACAAUUAUAAAUUAUACUCAAUAUAUGAUUUAUUGUCUUACGAAAAAUAUACUGCUAUAUUCUUAAUUAAAUUUAUUACAAGUCUACUUUUCAAAAAAAAAUUAAUUUGACUUUAAUUACUUGAAACAUUUUUAUUAUGAAAUUCAUUUAGAACAUGAUUUCAUUAAUUAUAUAUUUAAAAAAAAUCAAUUUUAGAAAAAAAUCUGAAACAUAAAAUAAUUCUUCAACAUCAAGAAGCUGAAAUUCAUAAUAAUAUUUAAUCCUUUAAUUUUACCAAUAUUUAUUUACCAAUAAAAUUUAAGCAAUAUUCUGAAAUUUAAUUCCAUUAGUUAUUUAGUCAUUCAAUUUAUAAAAUCAUAUUCUCAACCUUUGGUAUAACUUUUAUUUAAUUUACUUCAUUUGUCAAAUUUCUCAAUUGAAUCAAAAUUUCAAAAGUUAAAUUCACUAAAUUCAUAUUUAAUUAAUUUAGCCUUUUAUAUUCCCUAAAUUAAUAUAUCAUAAUUUACUCUUAAUGUAAUUUCAAUUCAAUUUUAUUUGAUGUUUUGUAAUUCUAUAAGGUUUAAUUCUAAUUAUAAAAAUUAUUGAUUUCUUAUAAAAUUAAAUUCAAUUUCUUUUUAAUUAUCCAUUAUAACAAUUUGAUAUAAUCUAAAUUUUUAUCAAGUUUUUCUUACUACAAUUCUCUAUAAUUAAAUUAAUGGUCAUAAUAUACUUAAUAUUCAAUUUUAGAGACUAUAAUAUCAAUAAUUAUUUGAUGGUUGAAUUUUUUUCCAAAUUUAAAUUUAAUUUUUGAAAUUCCUACUCUUUGCAUAUGACGUGAUGGAAUUUUUAUACUAUUGACUUUUUAUUAACUUUUUCAAAAAAUUUCUUAAUUAAAUAUUAACACGGGGAUUUUCGUCAUUCUUUUUUAACAUUUGACUAAUGAUUUUAUGAUAACUUUAAUCUGACAUGUCAUUAAAAAUCCGGUUGUUAUAGAGCCAGUCAAAUUAAGCCUGUUAUCCGAGGAGUGAAGCCACUGCCUUGUUCUAUCUCCGAUGGCCUGCUCAGCUCCUUCAACCCCCAUCGCUCUCCUCUUUCCAAGUUCUCCAUUUUCAGUUUAGAGCCAACAAGGAUCGCAGAAAUCCUUAAAGAUUGACCUACAUGGUAUCGUGAGUACCGCGAUGUGGAUGUUCUUAAUGUGUUGUCUACUAGAGCCAAAUGGGUGUUUGAUAAGACCCAGUGAAGGUGUAAAAAUUAUAUGACGAAGCUUGCAGAAAGACUUUGAGUUGAGGGAAGGCAUCUCAACGAAGUUGGGCUUUUGUAUUGUGAAUCUGGCAAAUUACCUAUACUGCAUGGAUCAUCACUCUUUUAACGUGGAGGUACACAGGUCCUUUGCAAUGUGACACUUGGGGCACCACAUCAAGCUGGUGAUGCUCAACGACUGGCUUCUCUGGACGGGUCCUCCAACAAAGCGCUUCAUGCUUCACUGAAAUUUCCCGGAGUUCUCAAUUAAUGAAGUUGGCCAACUCCUUAACCUGCACUGUUCCGCAGCAGUCACAUAAAGAUUUGACAUUGAAAUUGAUCAGGUUUUUCCUCUGCCAAUGGUGGUGGGCGCGCUUUGUAUGUAGAUUCCGAAGGAACUUCCAACUUGAUGGCUGUGAGUGGUAAGGUUGGAGAAGAUACUACUGGGUCUGCCCCAUUAGUUUUCCAUUGUUAAGGUAGUUUGGUGCACAGCUUCCUGGAUCAUCUACACCACGAGCACCUCCAGCCGCCUGUUUUGAUCAGUUUCUGGAUUUCCAUCUCCAAAUUGUGCAAGCAGUGACUGAUAUGGUGUCCAUACAAGCGGCUACUGAAAUGGUUCAAACCCCAAAUGCUGAAGGGAAAGGAGCUUUUGGAAAAUAUCAUGAAGAAGACUCACCCAUCUUACAUGAAAUUAUACACAACUCCAUGGACCAGAACCGGAACCCAGACUUAAAUUUGUCCAAGAGAAGAUCAGUGUAAUACAAGUCAACUGCAGUCAUUCCUGAAAGAAGUGAUGAGAAGAGUAAACCUGGAAAAGCAGUGAGUGAAACAAGUUUUGUGACAUUGAACAAUUUGCAGAUGGGUGUUCCCACAAGCUCCUCUCCCCUCUUCCUACGUGCAUGAAAUUCCUACGUGCAUGGCCACCUUCUUAGGUGUGCAAUUCUGCGCAUAAUUCUCAAGCGUACUAUCACCCUCUUCUUUUUUGAAAAAUUGAUUUUAAAUUUAAAAUUUUGACAAAUUCAUUUCCCUUUUAAAAUCCCUCAGUAAUUCUCUUCAAAUUAAUAAAAUCUAUUUUCAAAAAAAAUUUGCUGCCAUUUUCCUUUUGGCAUAGACCUUUUUCUAUUUUCUUUGAUUUUUAAUCAUUUUCCAAUUUUUUAAUAAAUAUGAAUAAAUUCUAUGUUUUUAAAAAUAAUGGAAUUUUGUCCAAAUUUCUAUUAUCUUUUUCUCCAUGAUCAUUAGAAAGAUGAAAUUCCUAAAAUUAAUUCAUGCAAAUAAAUUGGACAUUGGUAGGCCCAACAUAUGAAUUUUUCUCCUUUGAUUAUUGUUUUUAAUUGCUACACUUGAUUGACUAAUGAUUGAUCUCUGUCUUGCUCUAGCAUACAUGAGAUUAUUUUGUGCUUGUUAUUGUACACUAACCAUGUUUCUCACGAAGCGCUCAACUUAUUCUCAAGUACGUUCUUUCCUUUUCCUAUUCGUUUAGUUAUAACCAAUGUUUUCAAAAUCGGACCGAUCAUUGAAUUGGAAAAGUUACUGGUUCACGGUUCACUGGUCGAAUCGGCGGUCAAAUCACGGUCAAACUAGUGAUGUCAUAAAUAUAUAAUUUAUAAAUUAUUAAAAUUUAAAAUAAUUAUAAAAAUAAAAAUAAUAAUUUAUAUAUUAUUUAAAAAUUAAAAUUUUAUUUAAAAAUUAGAAAAUUAGUUUCAAAUUAGAAAUUAAAAUUAAAAUCAUAAUUUUAAUUUUAAUUUUCAAAUUUUCAAAUUCAUUUUUAAAUAAAAAAAAACUUAUUUUAAAAUCAUGAAUUUAUUUAAAAUUAUAAUAUUUUCAUUAAUUUAAAUUAAAAUCAUAAGUUUUAAACAUCAUGAAAUAAAAAAUAAUAAAUAUAAAAGAAAAUAAAUUAUACUGAAAUGAGGUAAAAAAUAAUUUAAAAAAAUGGAAAAAGAGAGGAGAGGAACAAGCAAAAAAGGGUUCCAACAGGGUUUUGGGGGGUGGGGUUUCCAUUUCUAGCGCCAGGUGGGGGCCCUUCCGGUGGGCCAAAAGGGGAAAAGCUUUUUGGCUUUUCCAGUGCAAGGGGUGCCGAUGGGGUGGGGGGUUCCAAUGGGCAAGAAGAGCUCUUCCAGCGCACGCGGGUAGGAGUGGCGACAAUGGGGAAAAAAAAAAAGUUGAACCGGAUGGUUCCAUCCGAACCGUCCGGUUAGUCGGCCGAACCACCGAUUUAACUAGUCCGACCACUUUCCAGCCCAAUUGACCAAACCAGAUUGAAACCGUGACCAGCCGAUCCAAUCCAAUUUUUAAAGCCAUAAUUAUAGCUCAACCAUAACACAUCAUUGAUCAUUACUUGGUAUUUGUUGACUUUUUGAUCAAUUGUCAUUCUUAUAUUAACUUGAUUAUUAGAGACCUAAUUUUAGGGUAUAAAGGGGUAUUACGAUUUAUCAUCCUACCUUCUCAACAAGUAACCUGACCCUUGAACCCAGACUUGGUUUUUCAUAAACCCGUAUUUUCCUUUCAAGUUUCAUACUUAGAAUUUUUUUUUUUCCAUUUAAAAAUAAAAUAAAGAUACGUGGCCUAAAACCAUUUUCAUCAAUCCAAAGUGAGUCUUGUCUUUUUUUUUUUCAAGUAAGGACACGAUCACAGGUCUACAAUACUAUUUUAAUAUAUAUAAUGAAAUAUAGAUAUUAACGCCAUCUUAAAGAUAUAAUUAAAUUUUUUGUUUAAAAUAAAUUAUAAUAAUUUAAAAAUAAUAUUUUAUUUAAAAUAAAUUUUAGAAUAAGCAAAGUUGAUAUGUGGACAUAGAGAAUCGUGAACCAUUGUAAAUGUAUUGAUUAUAUCUCUUUCUUCCCAUUUCAUUUUUACUUUAGUUUUUAUUAUUCGUAUCUUUUUCUACUAAAAUUUGAAAAAGAAAUUCACAUUCACUUCUUCUUGGGUGUAUAUCAUAGGAUUCAAAAUGUUUUUAAAAAUUAUUAAAUUUGUUAAUUGUGACUAUAUGCUUAUUUAGGAUCCAUUGAUCUUAAUAACUUUCUUCCCGAUAUAGGAAGAAAAUGACUAUUCCAUUAAUGCAGCAUGCAUUGCUGCUUAUUUAUCAAGCAAAUUACAUUAUUAUUUUCACACCAAACCUCCAAAUUCUCCAUGCAUAUACGCAUCCUAUACUGCAUGGCCAACUUCAGAGAGCUAAAACAAGCUCUUAUUGAAUACAUGAUAGAUAAUGUCCCACUGACCCUUUUACUCUGAUACCCUGAAAUGAGAAAUUUGGAGGUUUUCCACAUCAAGCUUCUUGAAAUUACUGCGCCUUCUCGUAACAAAGAACUUUCCCCAGUUGUAUGCUCUAUACUUUGGCUUUUCCCCCUUCGUCAGCUCCUCCAAGGGCUUCACCCAAACAUGGUGCCCGGGACUCAAAACGAACGGAAUCGAGAACCUUUCCCUCUCUGAAUUCACCAUCACCCUGUGCUCCACACUUUCAUAAGUAUCGUUGCUCCAGACCUGGUUUAAUAUCAGUAGAAUUAACCAAAUGAGUGAAAAAUUCCUUGAGCCAAACACUACUGAUAAGCAUGUACUUGUAAUUCAAAGUUCUUGGGUGGUACCUGAACUAUAUCCCCAACAUUGAUGAUAUAAGCAUCUGGGGUGGGCUUAACUCGAACCCAUUCUCCAUCAGUUUUUCGCUUUACUUCCAACCCUCCAACAUCAUCCUGAGCAAGGAAAGUUAAGGCUCCGGAAUCCUUGUGGCGACCAAUGCCCAGAGCUAGGUGAGGAAUGGAGCAAGGUGGGUAGUGAUUGAGGCGGAUGAAGUUUGUUGAUUCUUCAAAGAGAAGAUUGAAUCUGUUCUCUGGCAAACCUAAGCUCAGAGAGAGGAGUCCCAACAGAUUGACAGCUAGUUUUUCCAUUUCUCUAGCAUAUUCUUCACAUACCUCCCUGUAUAAAUCAGCUCAAUUAGAACAAAAAAACUUAAGUAAUUCACUGUAGUGACUGUGCCUUAGCUGGUGGAAUUUGUACCUUAAUUCAGGAGGGUACUGAGGCCACUGAUUGAUCAGCUUUUCGAGCUCCUUGUCGUCAGGAUUAGGCGAAGCAGGGAUGAAGGCGGGGGAUGACGCCACGAUAUCAAAGACUUCCUUCCAGUCCCUAACGUUCUUGGUAUGCUCAGUAUCGAAAUACCCAAAAGGAUUCACCUCAUCUCUACUCACCUUCCUCUUCUCCUCCAAUGGCAGAGCGAAGAACUUCCUCGCCGCAUCCUCAAUUUUACGACGAGACUCGGAGGGCACCCCAUGGUUGAUGACUUGAAAGAAGCCCCAGUUCUUGCACGCAUCAGCUAUUUGAGAAACAUGGUUGGAAGCAUUGGCGGAAGAGAGAUCAAUGAGGGGGAUGCCUUCAGCUUCGAUAACAGCGAGCUUAGGCCUAUGUUGGGUGUCUUGGAUGAAAGCUGGAUCGACCUCUCCCAUGGCUGUGGUAGUGGUUAGAACUUAGAACUUAGAAAUGGCGGUUAUGCACUGCUGGUGUUAGCUGCACGUGAAGAUGGUGAGGGGGACUUGGCCACUUAGCAGGUGGUUUUUGUAGUGUAGUGGGGUUGGUUUAGUACAUUGAACCUGGACAUAAUUGGGGUUACGUUUUAAGUUUUGGUUGGGGGUGUGGGCUCAUGGGUUGCGCAAAUGUCAAUGAUAAUUGGUCAAGUGAUACCAAGUUAUUUCCAAAAUCUGCAGCCGCAAAGGGUAUCUCUCUCGAUGAUUUUGGCAACGUACAGCACUCUCCACAUUCAAAUGUUUGAUCAAAGAUACGUUUUGUUUAGUGUCGUGUAUAUUUUCGAAUUAAUUACUUCAUAUUUAGGGAUACGUUUUGUUGAGUAUCGUGUAUAUUUUCGAAUUAAAAACUUCAUAUUUAGGGAAAAGUGUGCUUCAAUACGCUAAUAUAAAAAUAUCAGCAAAAUAAGAUCCUAAUUUUUCAUAUUUUAAGGUUUAUAAUGCAAUUGGAAAUUAUUUGGAGAAUUAUGCAUUUUCAGCUCAUGUGUAUUUCAAAUCCAAAAUGCUCUCCACCUUGCCAGCCAAGUCUUACACGUUGAAAGUAAAGAGAGAAAAAAUCUUCAAAAAGCCACCAAAACCAAUUUCUCUUUCUUUUUGAGUUAUUUGAUUCAAAAGAUCAAUAAAAUCCAAUUUUUAAAAUUUAACCCUUUGUUCUUUUUUUUUUCAUUUUGAUAAAAAUAUCUUUACCAUUUUCUUGUAGAAAUAACAUUUUUUUUAAACCUAUAUGUAAAUACUUGAAAUGGUAAGAGACGUGUACAUUAAAAAAAAGUUAUUUUUCAAGUAAAAAUAUAGAAAGGAUUAUUUCAUCCCUUUUAACCAAAUAUUUAACAUGAUCAAGGACUAUUCCCUAAAUGAAGGCAUACGGUAGCAAAUACCCUUAAUCUAAACAUUAAAAGUACAACUUAUCUAGUAUCAAACACUCUGUUUUAAAACCCAUAGCCACUCCAAAUAUCCCAAAUAUUCUUUUCUAUGCAACCUCUCUCUCUCUCUUUCUCGCACAAACACACUAAAAUAUUUUCUCAAACUUGGAUUUUUCUCCACAACUCAACCCUAACUUCCUUUCUAUUUGUACCAAGGCUAGAGAAUAUAGUUUAUACUUGUAUUCCUUCAUGUACCAAGCCCACAAGAUGAUCAAUAAGUUUCUCUCUAGAUUUUACAUUGGAGUUGAUUGAUGAUAGUACCCUUAUUAGGUAGUAUAUUAUCUUCCUUAGGUACUGCUUUUUCCAUCCUUAGAUACUACCUUUGUAACCUUGGGUGCAUGAUUGAAUCCAUUGUUUCAUGGCUACUUCAAGUAAGUCAGGAACUUAUGUACAUGUGUGCUACAUGUCUUAUAGAUACUAAAUUUACAUUCUUUAGGUACUACCUUUACCUUCCAUGGGUACAAAUACGGUUAAUGAUAAGAAUUUUAAUAUAAAAAAGGGAAAAACCCUGCUUGAUAAUAAAAUUGCAUAUAUUUUCUUUCUUUCUUUCCUUUUUGAUUGAUUUUUUUUUUUUUUGGUCUUUGCUUUGGUUUUUAUUUAUGUCUUUGUUUCUUUUAGUCUUUGUGUGUGUGUGUUUUAUUUUAUCUUAUUUUCAUCUCUAUGCAGAAGAUGUAGAAGAAACAACAUCACAUCAUAAGGUGCAUUUUUCCGUUCAUUUAAGACUAAAGGUUUUGGAUUCACAAAAUGGUGGGAACUAAGGGUGAGAAGCUGGAAAAAUGUUGGAUUGAGCUACAUUUGAUCAAUGGUGAAUUUGCAAAAAAGAUUGUAGGAGAGUGUAGACCCUCAAUUUUGUCCCUUUAGCACAUGUUUUAAAGUCCAUUACCAAUACUUUACAGUAAUCUCUUGGUAGCCCAUAGCUACUCACGCUACUUACCUUUCUUGAGCCACCUCGGAGACUCUAGUUGAGGGAUUGCCUAACCCCUUAUUGUGACCCUUGGCAGUUUUGAUUUAGACUUAAGGUUUUCAUUCCUUCUUAGGAUAGCUCUUAGGUGCACUUUUAGGUCCACUUAGGCAUCACCCUUGGCUAAUUUAGACAUUUUGGGCCCGUUUAGACACCUUAAACUCGCCUAGAUUCACCUUAGACCCGCUUAAGCACUUCAUUGGGGCUCAACAUUUUUAUAUAAUCUCUUGAUCAUUAUUGCAUGCAUUUGAUGAUUAUAUUUUCUUUGUUUAUUCAUUUAUUUGUUUGUUUAUUUAUUCAUCCAUUUAUUUAUUCAUUUUUUAAUUUCUAUUACGUCUUGUUUUUUUUUUUCUUUCUUUCUUUCAUUUAUUUACCUACUUAAUAGAGAAUUGUUUAGAUAUUAAAUAUGCAUACAACCCCCUUAUUGAAUGAUGGAAUUGUACAAUCUGAUAUCUCAUUUUCUCUUUCAUUUUCUUUUAAUCGUAUUUCACUUUAUUACCAAUUUCAUGACUUUCAUUAGUUGCUUCUCUUUUCCUUUGAUUUUUUAAUCUUAUCUUAUUUUGUUUUGCAUAAGGAGCACCAUCUUGGGGAGUACAAGAGGAUCUACAUUACUGGUUUGAUCAACAUAUGUUUGAGACUAAAAGCCUUCAAGAUGGCAAAAGAUGGUCAUCACAGCCCCAUGCUUCUUCUUCCCAUCUCUCAUAAUUGAAGCCUCUGUACAAAACUUCAUCAUAUCCUGAACAAUAGCAGCCACAGCAGUUGCAGCCACAGCAGCUGCAGCCACAGCAACUGCAGCCACAACAGCUGCAGCCACAGCAGCUGCAGCGACAGCGGCAACCACAGUUAAUGCUGCAACAGCAGCCACAGCAGCAUAGACUGCAUCAUCCAGUUCAACCUUCAUUUGGUCAUUUAUCAGGGUUGCAGCCCCAACUAUUUAAUCCCCAUCUUUCCCCAGCUCCACUCAUCAUGAACAAAUAUGAAGCAAUGCUUGGGAUAGGUAAUCUGAGGGAUCAAAGACCCAAGUCAAUGCAAAAAGGUAGACCAAAUCAUCGGGUUUCUCAACAGGGCUUGGAUACUAGCAGUCGGAAGAGUGAUGUUGGUGGCCACAGUUCAGAUCCAAGUAUAUGACAGCUGAUGAAAUCGAAAGUAUCCUUAGAAUGCAACGUUGCGGAACAGAUGGAUGAGUAGAAAGGAAAAUAGCAUGAAAAUAGAAAGGAAGUGACCACUUUGUGCACAACACGCAUAUAGUGGGCUGUAAGGGGGAUUCUUUUUUGUUUAGAAAGAAAAGUCAACUUGUAUCACUUACUAAACGAGAUGUGGCUGCAUCCUUGAGGGAAUCUCCCAAUGAGCCACCAUGUAUGCACUUUCCUUAUCCAUGUGCAUUGAAAAAGGAUAUAGAAUAUUCAAUAGAGGAAAGGUGCUGCCAUAUAGAAGGAAGGUGCUGCCAUAUAAACAUGUCACAGAGAGAACACACGGUGGACUUUUCUUUUGGGAGCAGAAAUUCACAUACAAAAAGUAAUCUUUUUUAGAGGAGAUGAACACACGCAAGAGUUUUUUUUUGGGAGCGGUAGAGGACCUGAACGACUAAUUGGGCUGCCAUUUUGACACAUCAAGAAAGUAUUUUUCCAAUACAAUACAGGUUAGUUUUCGAUUUUUGAUACCGUAUUUCCUUUUUUUUUUAGUUUGGGUUUUAGUUGUUUGGUUUAAUUAAUUGUUUGUGAUAAAUUCUUUUAAAUCUCGAUUUCGAACAAUCUUUUAUUUUUCUUAUAUUAAAUGUCUAUCUUUUAUGAUUGCAAUUCAUUAGUUCUAUGCUAGUUUAUUUUUAAUUUACAUGAAAGUUUAAAUAAAGUUUAUAUUUUUAAUUCCAAUUAGUUUAUUUUUAAAUUUGAAUGAGUUAUCGAUCUUAAUUAUUUAGUUUAAUUGACCUUGUGAGAUAAAAUUUAUAUUUUUAAUUCUAAUUAGUUUAAUUUUAGUUUAUUUUUAAUUUGAAUGAGUUAUCGAUCUUAAUUCUUUAGUUUAAUCGACCUUGUGAGAUAAAAUUUAUAUUUUUAAUUCCAAUUAGUUUAAUUUUAGUUUAUUUUUAAUUUGAAUGAGUUAUCGAUUUUAAUUCUUUGGUUUAAUUGUCCUUGUGAGAUAAAAUUUAUAUUUUUAAUUCCAAUUAGUUUAAUUUUAGUUUAUUUUUAAUUUGAAUGAGUUAUUGAUCUUAAAUCUAUUAGUUUAAUUGGACUUGUAAGGUAAAGUUUAUAUUUUUAAUUCCGAUUAGUUUAAUUUUAGUUUAUUUUUAAUUUGAAUGAGUUAUUGAUCUUAAAUCUAUUAGUUUAAUUGGACUUGUAAGGUAAAAUUUAUAUUUUUAAUUCUAAUUAGUUUAAUUUUAGUUUAUUUUUAAUUCGAAUGAGUCAUUGAUCUUAAUCUAUUAGUUUAAUUGGUCUUGUAAGGUAAAGUUUAUAUUUUUAAUUCCGAUUAGUUUAAAUUCUAGUUUAUUUUUAAUUUGAAUGUGUUAUCGAUCUUAAUUCUUUAGUUUAAUCGAUCUUGUGAGGUAAAGUUUACAUUUUUAAUUCCAAUUAGUCUAAUUCUAGUUAUUCAUGUGUUUCUUGAAAUCUAAAUGUUAGUUUUUGAAUGAUAAUUUUGUUAGUUUGUUUGAUUAGGAAGUCAUAAAUUUGUUGUCUUAGUGAUUGUUGGUCAAUUUUUUUUUAGGACCACUGGAAACCCAUGAAGGUUGGCCUUUACUCUCACCACUUUAAUUGAUAAGAUUUUCUAAAAUCUUUAUUUCGUGAUCUUUGUUUCCUUUUGUUUUGAUUGAUAUUUUGUUUUCUAUUUUUGUUAUUUUAAAAAUUAAUUUCUUUUAUUUUAAAACAAAACUCUUUUUCUCAAAAAAACCCUUUUUAAAAUUUUUUUUUUAUUAUUCAUUUAAAGCCUCUAGAAUCAAAAUCUAUUUUCUUUUUUAAAAAAUAACAUGCAACCAUAUCUUAAUCAGUUUGCAUCCUUCUCAAUUUUCAACAAAAAUAUCCUUCUCAAUUUUCAACAAAAAUUUUGGUUUUAAACAAAACGCGAAUCAAAGCUUGUGGUCCCAAAUAAAUGGAACAAUUUUAGGCUAAAUUCAUGUAUAUUAAUUUGGGGAAUUGGUGAAACCCCUACAUAAGAAAAUCUUUUCAAAAUUUACUUUUGCUACCACCCUACUAUUUAUCAUAAUCAUAUUUACUUUUUUUCUUUUUAGGAAUUGUAUACAAGAUAUGUAUGAUAAUUAAUUAUUCCGAGUUCUGAUAAUUUUUGCUAAUUAAUUAGAUAAGCAUGCUAGGAUUUAUUAUUUAUUAUCUAUUAUCUAUUAUCUAACCCUCAUGUUCUGAGGAAGUGCAUUAGGAGUUAUAUAUGCUAUCCAGGUACGUUCCCAAAAUCUCAUGAAUAUGCAUGUCAUUACCCUUGUUUGAUGCCAUACUUGAUUGCCUCGAUGCUUGUUUGAUCAUCCUUGAUAAAAUGCAUGUCGUGUGUCAUAUUUCUGAAUUAACCAUUGAUGUUUAAUGAUAGUGCUUAAGAAGUGGUUCAGGUACGCACCCUAACUCUCCUUUAUUGUGAUUGAUCUCCUUAUUUAGCAUGCUACUUUCUGAAAAUCACCUAGCUUACUUAAGUAUCCAUAAUUAAUCAAUUAAUUGCCUCAUUUCCCCAAUUUAGUCAGUAAAGACCUCUUUAGGGCUUAGAAGGGUGCUACCUCCUAGAGGUACCUUCCCAAUAAGUAACCUGAUCCCCGGACCUAGACUCGGGUUUUUCAAAGACAUGUUUUUUUCAAAAAUUAUGGAGUCACAUUUUAGGGUUUUUCUUUCUUGUUUUAUUUUCCCUUUAAAAUAAAAAUAAAAUAAGUGGCGGCUCCAACUUUUCCAAAACUAAAUAAUUUUUCACAAAUAAAAAAAGAGUCUCGCCAAUCGAGUGGGGACGCAUGUGAAAAAUGCAGGUCCACAGAGAGGUUUCUUGAGGUGGACAAGGUCAGAAGCAAAGAGCCUUUCCCUACUUUUUGGGGUUGGUUCCUUGAGUUCUUAGGAAGAACUUAGUUAACGUGUGAAUUCAUUCAGGGUAAUUUAUGUAAGAUUUUCUAGAUUUUGCAAGUGAAUGCACCUUAGCUUUUCCUAUUGUAUUUGUGUUUUUUUAGGUUGAUUAUUUUAUUGAUUGUCACCACUCAAGGAAUGGAAGCAAUAGGGUCUCUAGAUGUAGUGCCUAAAGGCAAGCAUACAGGCGUUGUUAGGAGUGUGCUUCCCAUGUCCAACAAGCAUAUUGACACCACCCAAAGCCAAGGCAUCUUUGGACUAGGAGUUCUAGCUUCUACUUAUGUGGACUUUGUAGAUGCAGUCUGGCUCUUCGAAAUAUUUAUUGUUAUGUAGUAGUUAUACACAUGUACUUUGUUUAAGUGAAUUGAUUUUUGGAUUUUUACUUAAAUCAAAUUUAAGGGUAUGUUGUUUAAUUUACUAGAGAUCUCUUGUUUGUAAUUCUCGUUAUCAUAUAUAGAUCUUUGUUAGUAUUUGCCAAUUUCCUCAAUAGCAACUGUAUUAGUUAUCAAUGGAAUGAAUCUUGAGUAACUUGUAGUAUCAUUUUUGGUUUUGAAUUGGCUAAUCUUUUUUGGAAGAAUGAAUUAGAUAUAUGAGCUUGAUUGCAAGCAAUAGUUGAGUUUGUUUUGAUCUUGGGGUAUUUGCCUUAUUGAUAGGACAUAGAUUUUGGGUCCAAAUAGUUGGAAAUUGAUGAGCUUAACCAGGACAUAGAUUUUAUCCCCUUGGGAGAACCACAACACUAACCAGUGUUCCUACAAAAGCUAAUAACCAUGAUUUAGAAAUGUGAUUUCCCUAAAGGGAAGCAUUUCUAAUCUUAUUUGAAGGGAAACUUUGAUGUCUUCCUUAAUACACUAGAAUAUUAAUUUAAAAACAACAAUUAAGGUUAUAUUAACUAUUAUAAUAAUUUAUAAAUUACAUAAAUAUGAUAAUAACUAUUAAAAUAAAAGUAUUAAACAUAAAAAUGUUUAAUUCUGUUGGGUAAAAACUUCAUAAAUAUUUUAUUAUUGAACUUCUAUCAUAUGAUCAAACAUAGUGAUGAUCCUUAGUUGGAUUAAUUAACACUUGUUUCAUAAAUUGAACAACAUAUAACAUGAUCAAUAAACAAACAAGUAAACAUCAUACUAGAUAAAACUAUCUCUUAAGAUUUCAAUUAUUACAUGUUUAAAUUACAAAUCAUAUUUUUGCAACUUUCGUAAAGUUAUGCAAUAGAUAUAAUUAAAAUUAUGAAACAUUGAAAAUGUAUAUUGAUUCAUUAUUCAAAUUCAUCAUAUCAUAUAUAUACUUUAGUUGUCCAUAAGAUCAAAUAAUAACCAAAAUUCGAAAAAUAUGUUUUAUGAUCCAAAAUUGAUUGACACUAAUAUCAAUUGUUACAUAAACUUUAUGUGAAAUAAUUAUUUUGGAAAAUCAAUUUGGAUGCAUAAAGCAUAAUAGUUAUAAGAAAUAAAGAAAUGACAAAAUAAUAAUUAUAUUUUUGUCUUAAUCCAUGAUACCGAUAACACUUUUAAAGUGAGUUCGAGUCACUUUGUGAAUUGUUGGGUCAAGGUAUUCAACUCAUCAUUCUCAUUUAGUAGAUGAGACAAUUGUGUGGUAUAUGUUGUUAUAAGCAAAACAACUAAAAACAUAAGAAUACAAUACAACUUAGGACCUUAACUUUAAAAAAAGAUUUAUAACUCUUAAUCUUCUCAUAAAAGAUUAUAUGAGAGUUAUACUCAUUAUUUUUAAACAUUAUAUAUAAAUUAAUGGACAAUAGUAAACUACCAACUUGAAUACAUUCAUGUAAUUAUAUAAAUUACACUUUUUCAUCUUCCUCUAUUAGUCAUAAACUUUAUAUAUAAAUUAAAUCUCAUAAUGAUGGAGUUACAAAAGUUGUAAUACCAUAUUCGUAUAAAUGAAAAUUUUCUAACUCCAUAUUUAUAAUUUUAAUUUUCUAUGUUAGAAGUUGAAUUUGUUCCACAUCGCCAAGUUACCGGGUUAUUAUGUUGUUUAUAUAUGUGGAUUGGGCACCCUCUCCCUUUAAGCAAGCUUUUAGGGAUGAAUUAUAUUCAAACCCAUUUAACAUGGUAUCAGAGCUUGGUUUGACUGGGGGUCGUGGGUUCAAGCCACCUCUUCGCAAUUCGUAUGUUUGUUCCUCAUUUGCAUGUUUGAAAGUCUAGAAAAGGGUAUUUGCAUUUGUUUGUUUGUCCCUUCACGUGUGGAUAUGGGGCCACACAUAAGAUAUGGUGUUAAAAAGCAUGAAAUGUAUAUUGAACCCAAAUCUUAUAAGUUUAAGCUUUUAGGAAAAUUAGUAAUUCAACAUUCUAUACAUAAAAUUAUUUGAUGUCCAAUCAAUUGAUUCACCUACCUAUCAAUUAAUAUACUUUUAAAUAAAAUAUAUUUCAAUCCAUUACACAAAUAUAAUUAAAACAAAGUACUAUAAUAAUAUGAGUAUGUGACAAAUAAAUAAAAUAAAAAUAAUCACAUGUUACAUGUAAACUAUAUUCAAAGGAAAAACCACAAGUCAUCCCCACUAUUAAACAAUCCAUUGUAUAAUGAUCAAUUACAAAGACCAAGUAUUACCAAACUUAAAAGUAUCUAAAUCAUACUCACUUUGCACAUUUUCUUUAUACUUGGAUCCUUUAAACUCAUUUAUCCCAAUGUGGAAGCAUCUUGAGUUCUAAUCAAGGAAAUCAACCUUUACUUCAUCAAGUUAAAGUCUCUUUAUAUCAUUGACAACCAUAUCAAGAUUUCUUUUGUUGGUUGCUUUCAAAGUCCCACUAGAAUUAGAUUGAAAUUUUUAUAAUCUCUAGAACUUUAACAUAUUAAUUCUUCAAUGAGUCAAUCAAAUAUUAAGUUUUAUCUCCAUAGAUGGACCUCAAUGAAUUUUUCGACAAAGGUGUUAACACUAAUUUCAUAUUAGUAAAAAAAAAUCAUGUGACACAUAUUGAUAUAUAUAUAUAUAUACUAAUUUCAUAUUCAUAGAUUGAAUUCAUGAGAAAAUUAUUCUUAAUUUUGUAAAAAUUAUAUAUAUAAGAAAGUUUUUAGGCUUACUAAAACACAUUACUAACCAAGUGGCAAUAUAUUUAUAAUUUAGGUCUCAUUAUUUUGUAAUCAAGUUUCAUUCAUUUGUAUCAUAUAUGAGUCCUAUUAUGUCAUACCUUACUCUUAUUACAUUGUACUUUGAUCUUAUUUGUUUAAACAUCGAUUUCAUUUCUUUAUAUGUACAUCACAUUUAUUUAUAUCUCAAUCUUAAUUAUUUGUAUCUUUAUUUAACAGUUUAGAUUUCAUUACAUAUUUUUAAAAUUUUAAUUUGAAAUUCGAUAUCUUAGUAUUUUUCUAAAAUAGCUACCUAUAAUCCUUGUAGAGUACUCAAAAUUCACUCCAACCCAUAAAAAAAAAUGACCUCUCUUCGUAAGUUGCUAUACUCAUUGCUAAACUAUAAUUCCAAAAUUAGCAGAACUUUUCAUACUUAUUCUAGGCAAUUAGAGUUGAGAUGUUCCGGGCAUAUACCAUAUUCUUUCAAGAUUUGAAAGAAAUGUUACGAUUUCAGCAUUAAAUAAUGCAUGUCGAUUAACAAUAUUGCUCAGAUUCUUUAGGCAAAGGUCCACAGACAAAAAAAUUAUUUAUUUAUUUUCUGAACCACCCCUGAAAUUGACACCUCCCAUACAGUCUGAUCUGCAUUUCUGUGGCACUAUUUCCCUUAUUCCUAACCAUAAAUCUGCUGCCAUCUCAAUAAUUCACAUCCUUAUCCACUCCUUAUCUAGGGUUGUAACACUUUUUUCAAAAAGAUUUUUUUUUUUUUUUUUCGAAGGGGUGGAUAAGGGUCCUGAGACAAGCUGUGGUAUAAUUAUAAACCCACUUGGGUAAUGGUUUCAUUGUCAGGGUAAUUCUAUUUAAGGUGAAAAUCAGCUGGGUCUAUCAUUCUUGUUUCCAUGUGACUGUUUCCAAGGAGAACUCAACCCUCAAAUCCAUCGAGCAGUCAUAUAAAAAUACACGCAGAUUUCAUAUCUUGAAGCUUGUCCUGUGUUCAGAUCGGAUAACUCACUCAUAUGCCUAAUCACUAAUCGCCAACUUGAGUGUAAAAAAAGCGUGGGGCGAUAUUAUUUGUAUAUGGGUUUGACUGUUUGAGAGAGAAAGGUGGGGUGUCCCUUGGAGGAGUCCAAAGGCCAUUUUUGAACCUGCCUUUGAUUAUCGCCAUGGCAAAUCAACAGCUUGUAGUAUAUAUAUAUUAAUGGAGACCAAGACUCAAAUAGAGAGAGAGACGCGGGGAUGCGAUAAAGAGAACAGUAUAGCCAAGAGUAUAUAAGCAUUUCUCUUGCUGUAAUGGUGAUUCAGAGACUGGAAAUGUGUAUAUCACUGCUGAAAAUGGCAGUAGAGUUUGUGCUUGUUUUCGCGGAGGCAGUCGGGCUAGUCAUCAACCACAAUGCCACGCCGCUUUUGGCAAACUCAGCCUCAGUUGGCAAUGAUGUUUCUGUCCCUUUUAUCGGUUUUCUUCUUUGAAUUCUUCGUCUUGUAGUUUCCUUCCUUACCAGAAUGCUCAUUGGCCAUUGUAUAUGUUGAGGGUUCUUUUUUGCCUUGAUAGAUUUUCUAAAGGAUGUGCAUGUUUGAUAGGAGAGAGUAUAUAUACACAUCUAUGUAAACUUUGAUUAAAUUUUGUUCUGGGUGAGCUUCAUUUUCUGCAAAUUCAUUUGCUGAUAGCUUUGGAAACGAAUCUUCAGUUGUUUGGGUGCUGAUUAUUUGCUUGCUUCACACGAUUUUAUGUGCUGUUCCUUUGGUAAUAAUCUUGUUGGGUGGAUCAAGGAGAAGAGCGAAGAUCUGAGGGAAAAUAGAGUCUGGAGAAAGAAAAGAUGUAAUGAUGAUUAAGAAAGGCUUUAAUAUACUUGCAAGAUCAGGAAAAAAUAUUUCUUGGGUAUCAAUUAUUUUCUUGCUUGAUAUGGGUUUGAUACUCUUUUUCAAUUGGUGAUCAUUCUGGGAAGAUCAAGAAGAAGAAAAUGGGGUCUAGAUGAAGAAAAGCUAUAAUGGCGAUUAUUAAGUGGAAUCAGAUGAAAUAAAAGUCUGUUUCCAUCAUUCUUAAUAUGGUUUCUUUUGUCAAAAAUGGAAGAUGACUUGAUUUUCAUAGUCCCAGCAGGACUUUAGUACUCAUCAAACUCAUAAAUUUUGAACAACUUUGAGCUAACCUUCUGCAUUAAUUUGGUGCAUCUGCGCAGUUGCAGAGUAUGAACACCCACAAAAUCUUAAUAUGAAUCUUUUGGGGCAAUAGCUUCUAUAUAUGAUGGAUGAUAAGAACAAAGCAAAUCUUGGGUUCUCCAUGGGCACGAUCAUUUAUCCGCCAUAUAAAAUGCAGAUUUUCCUAACACCAACCCCUUAUUUUAAUAAAGUCAAGUUAUUUUAAGGCCCCCAAUAUUAGACAUGCCUUAGAAUCAUUGGGUCUGUGAUUAAAAAUGUAGUAAUAUCAUUUAAAAUACCUAACACUGAAAUUUUGAUAAUUUUGAAUGCCAUAGUGUGGAUUUGAAGAAAGAAAUCGCAUCCAAGAUCUCUUCCUUUUCCUGGGAAACAUUAGUCUUGGUCAAUUAUGAACUGUUACACGUUGCCUAUCAUGGUCAUAUUUAUAUUAGCUUUGAUUUCUAUGGGGGAUAUAAUUUAUUUGUAUGCUAAUCAUAGAGGUGAUACAUGUGAUCCACAUGUCAUAUUUGGACUUGGAAGCAAUCAUUGGAUUCCUUUGAUGAACUGGCAAUGGAAGAAUACUAAUUGCUCCGGUCCCUUUCUUUUUUCAAAGUAGGAUGAUCAGGUCCUUUGAUCCCUUCGACUCCCUCUGGCUGUUUUUCUUUGUUCUUUUUUCAAUCAUCCAUAGCUUAAAAUUAAAGCCUUGAUGCCCUCCUCGACUUUCCCAAGAUAAAACACCUUAUCUUCACUUUAUUUCUCUUCCCUUUAAAUUUGAUUUUAGAUCUGAAAUCCAGGGCUUAUGACCCUGUAGAAGAAAGACAGAUAUGAAGCUUGGGAUGAUUUGAACUUCAGUUUGAUUUUCUGCACACUCUGUUAAAACUCCUGAAAUAUAGUUGUAUAUUGCAAUACAUUUAAUUGUUUGAUACAUCUGAACUAUGAUGUUCUAUUAGUAAAAAUUUCUUUGAAUCAAUCCACGGCUCAAAGUACCAAUUUCUAUUGAAACUUUUUUUCUUUUCCUGCUCAUUCAAUUGUUUCAUUUUCCACAUAAUGGUAUGACAACAUCAAGAAUACUUCUCAGCAAUUGCCUGCAGGUGAACCCAAAGCUCUUUUGGCUUAGAGAUCAUGACCAUGUGAUCAGAUCCUUUAAUCUCUUUAACAGCAUCAGGUGGGUUUUUUUCAAUCAUCCAGAGUUGAAAAUCCCUUUUCCCCAGCUUGUCUUCCUCUGAAAUAAUAAAGACACGUUUAACCGAGGCAUAUUUCUUCGACAACAUGAGCUCAUUUGACAUGUCUUCUUCAAUGAACAAGCGUACGGGUCUCAUCAACACAGUCCCUAGUGCCAAGUCCUGGAAUAUUUGUGCCCGAAAUGAUAUGACAACAACAAUGAAGGUCUCAUGAUUUUGGUUGUAAGGCCUUAAUAAAUGGAGUUCUCACCUCAGUUGGGCUCAACUGAUACACAUUCAGUGAUAAGAACAAGGGGCCAAAGCUGAAAGUGGUGGGAGGAUUGUUGGGGCCAUUAUCAUAUGUGAACUGGCUGUCUAGUAGAGGACCUUGUCUCCUGAGUGACUUCAAUAAGAAGUAGAAACCAGGCUAAAAGUCAGAAACAGGGGAAGCCUUCCCCUCUUAAUCAGCAAGUAAAUUUCUGUAAAAGAAAAAUAGUAUGUAUGAAGUACCUCUUGAUUGAGAGUGGAAAUGUUGAGAGUGGGACCAGGCAUUGAGGCAGUAACAAAAACAGCUACAGAAACCUUUUCUGGGAACUUCUCCAUGGCCUGAGAAAUGGCCAAUCCACCCAAGCUGUGUCCAACGAGAACCACCCUCUCAUCUGCAGGGAGUGACUCCACGAAGUCCCUCAGUGGCUGGAAAUACCAAGAAAUUGAUCGCAGAUCACCCACUUGUUUUGGGUUAAUUCCAGAAGCAGCCAAGUCCAGAGCAGUAACUUUGUGGCCAGAUGAUUUUAGUAGUGCCACAAUCUUGUACCAAGACCAGGCACCAUGGCAAGACCCAUGAACUAGAACAAAGUGCUUGACGGGAUUAGCCUGUCUCCCCUCUGAUGCCAUUGGAUACACUGAAGAAACAAGAAAAAUCAGAAAGGAAACAAAAAUCAUAUGCUUCUUCCUUGCUUCCAUACUCCUUUCCUGUUACAGAGAUGGUCAGCACCCCAGCAUUUUAAAGGGCACAAUUGGGUAGGUUUUCACUACAACUACUAAUCUAAUUGAUUAAAAAUUUUCCCGUGAAAUUGACUCUAGAAAUAAAAUAAGGACUAAGGAUUCAAGAACACGUACACUUUGACUGCCAGAGUUUAUGUCUUUUCAUAGAUGACACAUGCACCUGCGUCACACUCUUUUUCAAUGAUAAAGAAGUUAUGCAAAGGAAGAAAGAAUGAAAUAUACAGAGUCAAGUAGUUAACUCCUCCCCUUGAAUUCUUCUCUUGCCCGGAUUGGUUUGUAACUGCAAACAUUUUCUUUUCCCAAUGUGAUCUGUGGAUUGAGUUCUGAUCUCAAUUUGUUUUUGGCAUUUUUGGUUUUGCUUCUGCAAAUCUUGAGAUGUAUCUUUCAAUUAAUAUAAGUUGUGCAGUUAAGGUUUUUGGACAUAUAAAAUGUUAGCCAAACCUUUCCCGUGGCAGGUUGAAGGUACUUUGGGGUAGGCUUGGUCAUGCUUGAUACCUCAGUCUGACUCAAACAUGAUGUUUUCACCCAUUUGAAUUGAUCAAAGUUGUGUUGACUGGCAUGAUUCCUUUAAUAAAGAAGUUGUUUUAGGAUUAAGGCGUACAACACAAAUUUGACUUAAGUAGAUCUAUUUAAUUAUUGUGUAUUAACAUAAUUAUAAUCAAUUGAGUCGAAAAUGAAUUAAAUUAAAAAGUUAAUUUUAUUGAUUUAAAUAAGACCUAAUUCAACCUGAUUAUUAAAUUACUCAACUUAUUAUAUGAUUUGAACACUGCCCACCAACAUUAAUUGUAACCCGUGCUUUGAGUUCAGGUGGCAGCAAGAGUUUGGCCUUUGUUUUGAGUGUUGGAUGAAUGUUGGAUUAACCUUUCCCAUGGCUGUCAAAUUCCUCAUAAAUUAUUGGUGAUUGUAAUAAUUUCCUCAAAAAGUAAUGGUGCUAUAUGCUUCUUUAGGAUCCAUUGAUCUUAAUAAUUCUCUUCCUGGUAUAGGAAGAAAGUGACUAUUCCAUUACUGCAGCUUUCAUUGCUGCUUAUUUAUCAAGCAAAUUACAUUAUUAUUUUCACACCAAAUCUCCAAAUUCACCAUGUACUUAUCCUAUAUACUGCAUGGUGAACUUCAGAGAGCUAAAACAAGCUCUUAUUGAAUACAUGAUAGAUGAUGUCCCACUGACCCUUUUACUCUGAUACCUUGAAAUGAGAAAUUUGGAGGUUUUCCACAUCAAGCUUCUUGAAAUUACUGCGCCUUCUCGCAGCAAAGAACUUUCCCCAGUUGUAUGCUCUGUACUUUGGCUUUUCUCCCUUCGUCAGCUCCUCCAAGGGCUUCACCCAAACAUGGUGCCCGGGACUGAAAAAGACCGGAAUUGAGAACCUUUCCCUCUCUGAAUUCACCGUCACCCUGUGCUCGACACUUUCAUAAGUAUCGUUGCUCCAGACCUGGUUUAAUAUCAGUAUAAUUAGCCAAAAGGGUGCAAAAUUUCUUGAUCCCAACAGUACUGAUAAGCAUGUACUUAUAAUUCAAAGUUCUUGGGUGGUACCUGAAUUAUAUCCCCAACAUUGAUGAUAAAAGCAUCUGGGGUGGGCUUAACUCGAACCCAUUCUCCAUUGGUUUUUCGCUUUACUUCCAACCCUCCAACAUCAUCCUGGGCAAGGAUGGUUAAGGCUCUGGAAUCCUUGUGGCGACCAACGCCCAAAGCUAGGUGAGGGAUGGGGCAAGGUGGGUAGUGAUUGAGGCGGAUGAAGUUUGUUGAUUCUUCAAAGAGAAUAUUGAAUCUGUUUUCUGGCAAACCUAAGCUUAGUGAGAUGAGUCCUAACAGCUUGAAAGCUAGUUUUCCCAUUUCUCUAGCAUAUUCUUCACAUACCUCCCUGUAUUAAUCAGUUCAAUUAGAACAAAAAAAAAAAAGUAAUUCACUGUAGUGACUGUGCCUUAACUGGUGAAACUUGUACCUUAAUUCAGGAGGGUACUGAGGCCACUGAUUGGUCAGCUCUUUGAGCUCCUUGUCGUCAGGAUCAGGCGAAGCAGGGAUGAAGGCGGGGGUAGGCACCACGAAAUCAAAGACUUCCUUCCAGUCCCUAACGUUCUUGGUAUGCUCAGUAUCAAAGUACCCCAAAGGAUUCACCUCAUCUCUACUCACCUUCCUCUUCUCCUCCAGUGGGAGAGCGAAGAACUUCCUCGCGGCAUCCUCAAUUUUACGACGAGACUCCGAGGGCACCCCAUGGUUGAUGACUUGAAAGAAGCCCCAGUUCUUGCAUGCAUCAGCUAUUUGAGAAACAUGGUUGGAAGCAUUGGCGGAAGAGAGAUCAAUGAGGGGGAUGCCUUCAGCUUCGAUAACAGCGAGCUCAGGCCUGUGUUGGGUGUCUUGGAUGAAGGCUGGAUCGACCUCUCCCAUGGCUGUGGUAGUGGUUAGAACUUAGAACUCAGAAAUGGUGGUUAUGCACUGCUAGUGUUAGCUGCAGGUGAAGAUGGUGACGGGGAUUUGGCCACUUGGCAGGUGGUUUAGUACAUUGAACCUGGACAUAAAUUGGGUUACGUUUUAAGUUUUGGUUGGGGGUGUGAGCUCACGGGUUGCGCAUAUGUUAAUGAUAAUUGUUCAAGUGAUUUUACCGACAUAAAACAAAAUCUGCCGCCCCAAAGGAAUCUCUCUCAAUGAUUUUACCGACAGCACUCUCCACAUUCAAAUGUUUCAUCCGUAUUUGAAUUGGAGUCUAAUACUCUCAUUGUUUAAUUAACUCCAGCUUGAUUAAUGAAUCCAGUGGUGUCGUGUAUAUUUUCGAAUUCUCUGCUUUAUAUUUAAACCUUCUUGGUUUUUAUGUUCUCAUCCAAUGGUUUAAAACCCAAAAACGAUGCAAAGAGAAAAAGAGAAAAAAAAAAAUAUACAACACAAUUGGAAUUAAAAUAUAUGUAAUAAAAAAAAUAAAAACUAAUUCAUUUUGAGUUUUAUUUUUCAAAAUAAUAACUCUAAUAUAAUAACUAAAUAAAUAAACAUAUAGUAAUUAAAUACAUAAUAACUAAAUAUAUUAAUGUCUUCUCAUAAUUGAGACUUUACAACAUAUACUCAAUUUUUAAACAAUUCUAAAAAAAUAAGUGAAAAUAAUUAAAAAUACUUAAAAUAUGUUACCAACAAAUACCUUAUUGUCCUAACAAAUCUCAAAAACCUUAUUUAGGACCAAUUGAAAAUCAAAAAAAAAUUCAUAUUUCUUUACUCUUGAAAAAAAAAAAUGGUUCUUGAUGACAGUCUCAAACAUAUCCUCCCAUUUGGUUAUUUUAUUGUAUAAGUUUUUCAAUAAAAUAAAAUAAUUAAUGAUAGUGUUUGUAAGGAAAAAUCAAAAUAUCAUACAAAAUUAAUACACAUCUUUUUAUUAUUCAAUAUUUCUAUAUCAUAUUUACAUUUUUUUUUAUAAAAAAAUUAUAUAUAUACAAUGUUUUAAAAACCGGAUCGGAUCGGCCGAUCCAACCGAUGACCGGUCACAUUUUCGGUCCGAUCCACUCUAUUAAACCGUUUAACUAUUGGAUCGGUUACGAACCGCCUAAACCAACGGUCAAACUGGUGAACCGAACAGUCCAUAUUGGCCCAUCAUUUUGCAAGUCCAUUGUAUAAAAAAUUAAAAGUUGUAGGCCAAAAACCAUACUAGGCCAUGUCUUAACAUGACAAAGCCCGCACCCAAACCAUUUAAGUAGGCUCAGUUUUGAGCCCACAAGGUGGGCAUGCUGUUGCUUUCAAUGAGGAUACUUUUUAUAGGCAUCCUUUGCACCCUUAUUUCUCUCACAAUCCGAUGUGGGAUUGCAAACUAAUAUGAUAAUAUCAAUGAAAAAAAUUUAACAAAUGCAACAAGAGGGAGGAUUUGAAGUGGGACCUCAGGUUUUGUAAAUAAACUAGGACACCACUCGGCUACUUAUUUGAUAUGCCAAACAAAACAAUAUAUGUUGGAUUUUAAUUUUUUUUUAAUAUUAAAUAAAAAUAAUAUAAUAUUUUUAAAAAUUAUAAAAUUAGUUAAAUUUUUCAUUUUGAAUAUAUUCACAUUUAAAUAUUGUACACAUUUCAUUUAAUAUGAUUUAAUUUGAUAAUAUCAAAUAUAUAAAAUAAUAUUAUUGAUUUUUAAUUUAUUCAUAUAUAUUUUAAAAUUUUUAUAAUUAUUUUUAAUUUUAAUAAUAUAUAAAUUACAUAUUUAUGACGUCAUCGGUUCGACCGCGGUUCGACCAUCGAUUCGACCGCGGUUUGAUCGGUAAACCGUGAACCGGUAACUUUUUCGAUUCAAUGACCCAUCCGGUUCUGAAAACAUUGUAUAUAUACAUAAUUUUAUCAUUUUUUUAAGUUAUAUUUAAAAUUUUCAUAUAUUUAAUCAAUUUACUAAUAUCAAUAUUUCCUUACAUAUUUUAAUAGUCGUAACCAUACAAAAGAUUGUCAAAUUAAAGGAAACAACACAUGAAAUGAGGAUGUGGAAAAAAAAAACACGAUAACAACGAAAUCAUGAUUUGUUUUUUAUUAUUCAAUAUUAUUAUAUCAUAUUUACAUUUUUUUUAUAAAAAAAUUAUAUAUAUACAUAAUUUUAUCAUUUUUUUUAAGUUAUAUCUAAAGUUUUCAUAUAUUUAAUCAAUUUACCGAUAUCAAUAUUUCCUUACAUAUUUUAAUAGUCGUAACCAUACAAAAGAUUGUCAAAUUAAAGGAAACAACACAUGAAAUGAGGAUGUGGAAAAAAAAAACACAAUAACGACGAAAUCAUGAUUUGUUUAAGGCGAAGGAAAUAAUAGUGAGAUAGACAAAGCUUAUAAUAACAAAGUACUGACAUUAUUAAUAUGUGGAAUUUGGUUUUCAGUUUUUUUUUAGAUUUUUAUAUAUUAUAUCUAUAAAUCUUAAUUCAAAUCUAAGUAAUACUUAAUAGAACUAUGAUGUUUGUUUUUUUUUUUUUUUUGUUUCUUUUAUCUAAAUCUUAAAGCAAUUUGCUUAAAAAUUGAAAUCAUUUUUAAAAUUAUUUGUUUAUUUCAUUUUAAUAGGAAAAAUAAAUAAUUUUACUUUUAACUAUGUAUACCUUAGUGAUGGGAUCAAAUUCCCAACGCAAUCAGUUUGAAUAACAACAUAUGAUUGAAGACGAUCAUCGCUAAAAGCUCUAUAUUCCCCAACCCAAUCAGUUUGAGCUCAAAACCAAGCUGCAAUUCAACCUAGUUUUGCAAUGGAUUGCAUCAGAUUUGUUUCCAAGAAGAUAAAAAUAAAACGAAACUUGGAAUAAGCAUCAAUGAAGUGAAUGUGAAACUGAUAGCCAAUAGAGGAUUGUGUAUUUGACACUCCCCAAAAAUCUGACUGCAUUAAUUUGGAGCAGUUCCGUAUAUUGAGUUGCAGAUAAUGGAAAUGGGAAUUCAUGGAUUUUGCCCAGACAACAUGUUGAAUUGAAACUACUCAAUUCAACAGAAAAGAAGCUACCAUGAUGGAGGUUGAGGAGUACUCCAUUGUUGGCAGUGGAGGCUCUCAUACCGUCUGAAGAAGCUAAACCAAAAGAAAUUCCAGCAGAAAAGAAAUGCUUUUUCCCUCAUCUAAAUAAUUGAUUACAAAAUUCUAUACAUAGCUAAUUGUAGAACAAACUUUAAUUAUCUGGAACUGUGAUAACAAACUACUAAUUGGGUCAACCAACUCUCUUGGCAUGAUUUAUUUAGAGUCCAACACCAUGAUUUUUCAGGGACUAAAAGUGGAAAAUGGUCUUACAACAUCAUUGUUCGGAAACUCUGAAAUGAUGAAUCUGAAUGUUUUCGACAGUUUGCUUCUUGAAAUCACUCCUGUUUCUAGUUGCCAUGAACUUUCCCCAGUUGUACUCUUUAAAUUUAGGGGGGUUUUCCUCAUUGGUCAACUCCUCCAAUGGCUUCACAUUCACAUGAUGCACCGGUAAGAAAAAGAAUGGAAUCGAAAACCUUUCCUUCUCACUAUUCGCCACCACCAUGUGCUCCACGCUCUCAUAUUUAUCAUUGCUCCAAACCUGUAUAGUGUUGGAUAAAUAUUGAGAAAAAGUAACACCAAUUUCUCCAACAUGUUUUUCUUUUUUUUUAAAUAAUAAUAAUAAGAUACAAUAUAUAAGACCUAGCUAUUAUAAUACCUAUAAAAAAAACUCAAACCAAUCACAACAUGUCAUGUAUAUAAUUAAGUUUAUUUACUUCGUAUAUGAUUUCAUUUUUCUAGAUCUAGUCUCGAUACUUUUAUCCCUAUCCAAUGCUCUAGAUUUUAUCCUAUACUUUUGAGGAGGUUUUGAAUUGAUAACCUACAAUUUUCCAAUGUGUACAAAUGAAAUUGAAGUCAUUUGAUGGAUCAUACCUGAAUAAUAUCACCAACAUCAAUGAUAUAAGCAUUUGGAAUAGGCUUUACUCCAAUCCAUUCACCAUCAACUUUUCCCUUCACUUCCAACCCUGUGACACCAUCUUGAAAGAGAACGGUUAAAGCUUUGGCGUCCUUGUACCGACCCACAACGAGAGAGCUUCGGCCACGAGAACGGCGGAGAGUGAUAAUUGAGUCGGAUUAAGCUGGUUUGCCAUUGGAAUAACUCAUUCAACUAGUCCCCGGCCAAGCCUAAGCUUAAGAAGAUGAGUUCUAAGAACUUGUUGGCUAAUUUUUCUAUUUCUCCAACAUAUUCUUUCCAAAUUUUCAUGAAAAUAAGUCAUUAUAUAAAAUAUAUCAAUACUCAAAAUGAAUUUAAUAAAAUCUUGCCAUGCCUUUACGUCUCUAUUUGAGUUUGUUUGCCUUUGAGUUGUGCCUUUACGUCUCUACUUGAGUUUGAUCGACUUUGAGUCGCAUUUUUAUGCCUCUAGUUGAGUCUAUUUAGCUUCAAGUCGUGCCUUAACAGUUCGAGUUUAGUCUAUUCGGCUUCAAACCGCACUUUUACAUCUCUUUCAUCUUUGAGCCACGUAUUUAUGUCUCUAGUUGAUUUUGUUUGACUUUAAGCUGCACCUCAUGCCUUUAGUUGAGUCUGUUCAGCUUCUAGUCGUGCAUCUAUAUUUCAAGUUGAGUUUAUUUGGCUUCAAGUUGUGUCUUUACGUUUCAAGUUGAAUCUAUUUGGCUUCAAGUUGAAUCUAUUUGGUUUCAAGUCGCACCUUUACAUCUCUAGUUGAGUCAGUUCAACUUUGACCCACGUCUUUACAUUUCUUGUUGAGUUUGUUCAACUUCAAGUCAUGCUUUUAUGUCUCUAGUUGAGUUUGUUUAGUUUCAAGCCACAGCUCUACAUCUCUAGCUGAGUCUAUUCUGCUUCAAAACAUGCCUUACAUUUCAAGUUGAGUCUAUUCGGCUUCAAGUUGCGCUUUUGCAUCUCUAAUUGAGUCUAUUCGACAUUGAGCUACGCCUUUACUUUUCAAGUUAAGUCUAUUUAGCUUCGAGCAACGCCUUUAUAUUUGGAGUUGAGUCUGUUAGGUUUCAAGCUACGCUUUUACAUCUCUAGUUGAGUCUAUUCGACUUUGAGUCAUGCCUUUAUGUUUUGAGUUGAGUUUAUUCAACUUUGAGUUACAUUUUUGCGUCUCUAGUUUAGCAUGUUCAACUUGAAGCAAUGUCUUAACGUUUCAAGUUGAGUUUGUUCGGCUUUGAGUUGCGCCUUUACGUCUCUAGUUGAGUUCGGCUUCGAGUUGUGCCUUUUUGUUUCGAGUUGAGUUUGUCUUAACUUUGAGUCACACCUUUACGUCUCUAAUUGAGUUUGAUUGGCUUCAAGCUGCGUCUUUAUGUUUCAAGUUGAGUUUGUUCGGCUUCAAGUCGUAGCUUCAAGUCAUGCCUUUAUGUCUCUAUUUGAGUAUGUCUGGCUUCAAGCCACGUCUUUAUGUUUUGAGUUGAGUUUGUUAGGCUUUGAGUUGCACCUUUACGUUUCGGGUUGAGUUUGUUCAGCUUUGAGUCACAUUUUUAUAUAUCUAGUUGAGUUUAUUCGACUUCGAGCCACACCUUUGAGUUUCAAGUUGAGUCUAUUCGGCUUCAAACCACACUUUUACGUAUCUUGUUAAGUCCUAUUCAGCUUCGUGCUAUGCCUUUACAUUUCUUGUUGAGUUUGUUCAGCUUUGAGUAUCGUCUUUAUCCUUAUUAAGUUCAUUCGGCUUUAGUCGUGCCUUCACCCUUAUCCUUAGUUUUGAGCCUAUUUGACUUCAAGCCAUGCGUUUGUCCUUGUUAAGUUUAUUCGGCUUCAAGUCGCCUCCUAGUUUUAAGUUUGUUUGGCCUCAAGCCGCACAUUCCCCUCUAUUUGAGUUCAUUUAGAAUUUUCCCCUUCCUCGAGUUUAUUAUGACAUUCUCUUCCUUCAAUAUCAUUUUUUGUGAGUUAAUCACUUCUUAUCUUGGUUGUCCUUGAGUUGUAUGUUGUGUCACGAUCUAGUGUUGUUCAUUGCAUAUACACUCCCCACAUUAUUUGUAUCUUUAUCUUAAGUUUCUUCCUUAGUAUGUGAUCCUGAUCUUUGAGCUUAGCAUGCCAUGUGUUAUGAAAAAAUUAUGAGUUCUCUUUUGUUCUUCAAUGCAAUUCACUUCAUACCAUUCAUCACUCAUGUUUCACUCUUCGUGUUCAGUUCACUCAUGAACUAUAUCAAAUAAGGGCAUAUUUAUAGACCCUCCAUUUUGUCUCAUAGCACGUAUGUUUGCAUUUUUUAUUUUCCUCUCGCCCCAUGCCCAUUUUAAUUUGGUGUCCGUUUGGAUACUUCUUGCUUAAUCAUUCAUCAUCCCUUAUUAGUUCACAUUUACUUGGCUCAUUAAUCAUUUUUUAGCCACAUUUUGGAGGCCAUUUAGGGCGAUUUUGGGUCUAAGCUUUUUUUUUUUAGAGGCUCUCAGUAGAUGGCUCAUAAUGAGGACACGUGUUUUUAAAGGGGUCUUCUAGAGGCUUCUAGGGUCAGUUGGGAGAGCACGUUCUUAUUUAUAUAUCUAUUGUUUUGGAGGUGAGUUGUACACCAAGAGAAUGAGGGAGUAGAUGGAGGUUUUUUAAACAUUGUAAGAGGAGAUUCGUUUUGAUUGGCAUUUAUACCAAUAAAAUCUUGGGAUUACUGAGAACUCAACGGGACCUUCCCUCUCAAAUCAUACAAACUUGGCCAAAGAGGGGUGGGUACCAUUGAGUUCUUAGGCUUUCAUGUCGAUAACUCAAUUCAUCUUAUUACUAAAGGGAUGAACCCAAUCCGGAAUAUGAACCAAAAAAGAAAAUGUCUAUUAAAUUGAUGACAGGAAUACCAGUUACAGUAGCUAUUAGCCAAAAGGAAUCCUUCCAAGUUGGAGGUGGUUAGAGAGAGAGAAGGCUGGGCGAGAGAGAGAGACACGUAAAGAGAAUAUUCUCUCUGGUGAGGGUUUGUUAGACGGGAAGCAAGAAGCUUGAGGGUAGAGAGGACAAUCAGAGGAGGAGUUUGGAGGAAGAGGGGAAGGGAGCUCGAAGGCAAGCAGAUCAGUGCUUGAGGGGACGUUUUUCCAAGUAUGAUUAUUGGGUCUCUCAUUUUCCGCUGUUCUCCUUUCCUUCCCGGUUGAUCUCUGGAUUUUAGUUGAUGCUUUGAUAUGGAUUCCAGAUGCCACACUUCAUCUUGUUGAGCAUUGGUUAGCUAUGGACUUGUUACUGCUACUCUUCUGUUUCUUUUGAGUUAACUUUGGAAAUGAAUCUGAAUAUAGACUGGUAUUUGCUGCUUGAUGUUUCGGGAAUCAUAUUUUAGUUGUUUAAAAUUCAUUCUGGCAUGUUCGGUUCCUUCAAGCUCAUUGAUGAAAUAAUGAAAUGGAGCUCUAUAUAUUUGUUAAUGGGUUGGUUCUCUGUUUGGUUAUCUUUUAAGUUCUUCCUCUUCUCUUUUCUCGUUGCCUUCUCUUCUCUAGGGGGGUGUCGUUUGAGCAUAUGCAUACUAGGAGAAAUGGGGAGCUGGAGGCUUAUCCUGGCAUCAACCUCGCGUUGGGGACGGCUUGAUCGAAGAACAUAUGAAUUUUUCAGAUACCUAGAACUUACAUCAAAAGAAGCCUCGGAGUCUAGGUCAAACACAAACACAUCCUUUGCCUUGGUGAUUUUAUUGACUUCUGCAUGAUGGGCACCCGAGGGUGGGGACUGGAAGAGAAAUGAUGAAUCUGCCUAAUAUAGUUUGUCUAGAAAGGAGCUUGUAUUAAAUGAUGGUUACCCACUGUGUCAGAUGCUGAAAUCUGGGUAUGAGGACUCCCGGUGGCAUCGGAAAGAUGAGUCGCACCAUUCUUCCCACAGUAGAAAGCUUGACCUCCGAAUUUGGGCUUUUUCAUGGCCAGACGAGAGGAGUGAUCGCAAUAGUGCGAGCAGAGCCAGUCAAAUUAAGCCUGUUAUCAGAGGAGUGAACCUACUGCCUUGUUCUAUCUCCGAUGGUCUGCUCAGCUCCUUCAACCUCCACCGCUCUCCUCUUUCCAAGUUCUCCAUUUUCAGUCUAGAGCCAACAAGAGUCGCAGAAAUCCUCAAAGAUUGACCUACAUGGUAUCGUGAGUACCUCGAUGUGGAUGUUCUUAAUGAGUUGUCAACUGGAGCCAAAUGGGUGUUUGAUAAGACCCAGUGAAGAUGUAAAAAUUAUAUAAUGAAGCUUGCAGAAAGACUCAAGGGUUGAUGGAAGGCAUCUCAACGAAGUUUGGCUUUUGUAUUGUGAAUCUGGCAAAUUACCUAUACUGCAUGGAUCAUCACUCUUUUCACGUGGAGGUACACAUGUCCUUUGUACUGUACACUUGGGGCAUCACAACCUGGUGAUGAUCAACGACUGGAUCCUCUGGUUGGUCCUCCAACAAAGCGCUUCAUGCUUCACUGAAAUUUCCCGGAGUUCUCGAUUAACGAAGUUGGCCAGCUUCUUAACCUGCACUGUUCCACAGAAGUCGCAUAAAGAUUUGACAUUGAAAUUGAUGUGGUUUUUCCUUUGCCAAUGGUGGUGGGCGCGCUUUGUAUGUAGAUUCCGAAGGAACUUCCAACUUGAUGGCUGUGAGUGGUAAUUAGGUUGGAGAAGAAACUACUGGGUCUGCCCCAUUAGUUUUCCAUUGUUAAGGUAGUUUGGUGCACAGCUUUCUGGAUCAUCUACACCACCAGCACCUCCAGCCGCCUGUUUUGAUCAGUUUCUGGAUUUCCAUCUCCAAAUUGUGCAAGCAGCGACUGAUUUGGUGUCCAUACAAGCGGCUACUGAAAUGGUUCAAACCUCAAAUGCUGAAGGGAAAGGAGCUUUUGGAAAAUAUCAUGAAGAAGACUCACCCAUCUUACAUGAAAUUAUACACAACUCCAUGGACCAGAACCGGAACUCAGACUUAAAUUUGUCCAAGAGAAGAUCAGUGUUAUACAAGUCAAUUGCAGUCAUUCCUGAAAGAAGUGAUCAGAAGAGUAAACCUGGAAAAGCAGCGAGUGAAACAAGGUCUGUGACAUUGAACAAUUUGCAGAUGGGUGUUCCCACAAGCUCCUUUCCCCUCUUCCCACGUGCAUGAAAUUCCUACAUGCAUGGCCACCUUCUUAGGUGUGCAAUUCGGUGCAUAUGCUCAAGCGUACUACCCCCCUCUUCUUUUAAAAAAAAAAUGAUUUUAAAUUUAAAUUUUUGACAAAUUCAUUUCCCUUUUAAAAUCCCUCCUCAGUAAUUCUCUUCAAAUUAAUAAAAUCUAUUUUCAAUAAAUUUCUGCUGUCAUCUUCCUUUUGGCGUGGACCAUUUUUCUAUUUUCUUUGAUUUUUAAUAAUUUUCUGAUUUUUUUUAAUAAAUAUGAAUAAAUUCUAUGUUUUUUAAAAUAAUGGAAUUUUCUCCAAAUUUCUAUUAUCUUUUUCUCCGAGAUCAUUAGGAAGAUGAAAUUCCUAAAAUUAAUUCAUGCAAAUAAAUUGGACGUUGGUGGGUCCAACAUAUGAAUUUUUCUCUUUUGAUUAUUAAUUUUAAUUGCUACGCUUGAUUGAUUAAUGAUUGAUCUCUACCUUGCUCUAACAUACAUAAGAUUUAUUGUGUUUGUGAUUGUACACUAACCAUGUUUCCCACGAAACGCUCAACUUAUUGCUAUUGUACGUUCCUUCCUUCUCCUAUUUGUUUAAGUAUAGCUCAACCAUAAUACAUCACUGAUAAUUACUUGGUAUCUAUUGAUUUUUUGAUCAAUUGUCAUAUACCUUAACGUAAUUAUCAGAGACCUGAUUUUAGGGUAUAGAGGGGUUUUACAACUUAUUAUCGUACCUUUUCAAUAAGUAACCUGACCCUCGAACCCAAACUCGGUUUUUUAUAAACCUGUACUUUCCUUUCAAGUUUCAUAUUUAGAGUUUUAUUUUUUAUUUUGUUUUCUAUUUAAAAAUAAAAUAAAAAUAAGUGUCAAAUUUAAAACCAUAUUUUCUAAAAAUCAAUUGUUCAUCAAUUUAAACUGAGUCUUGUCUUCUUUUUUUUUUUUCAAGUGAGGACAUGAUCUCAGGUCCACAAUACUAUUUUAAUAUAUAUCAUGAAAUAUAGAUAUUAACGUCAUCUUAAAGAUAUAAUUAAAUUUUUUGUUUAAAAUAAAUUAUAAUAAUUUAAAAAUAAUAUUUUAUUUAAAAUAAAUUUUAGAAUAAGCAAAGUUAAUAAGUGGACAUAGAGAAUUAUGAACCAUUGUAAAUGUAUUGAUUAUAUCUCUUUCUUCCCAUUUCAUUUUUACUCUAGUUUUUAUUAUUCGCAUCUUUUUCUACUAAAAUUUGAAAAAGAAAUUCACAUUCAAUUCAUUCGCUUCUUCUUGGGUGUAUGUCAUAGGAUUCAAAUUGUUUUUAAAAAAUAUUAAAUUUGUUAAUUGUGGCUAUAUGCUUAUUUAGGAUCCAUUCAUCUUAAUAACUCUCUUCCCGAUAUAGGAAGAAAAUGGCUAUUCCAUUAAUCCAGCAUGCAUUGCUGAUUAUUUAUCAAGCAAAUUACAUUAUUAUUUUCACACCAAACCUCCAAAUUCUCCAUGCAUAUACGCAUCCUAUACUGCAUGGCCAACUUCAGAGAGCUAAAACAAGCUCUUAUUGAAUUCAUGAUAGAUGAUGUCCCACUGACCCUUUUACUCUGAUACCUUGAAAUGAGAAAUUUGGAGGUUUUCCACAUCAAGCUUUUUGAAACUACUGCGCCUUCUCGUAACAAAGAACUUUCCCUAGUUGUAUGCUCUAUACUUUGGCUUUUCCCCCUUCGUCAGCUCCUCCAAGGGCUUCACCCAAACAUGGUGCCCGGGACUGAAAA
rnacentral:lncRNA from 1 species